rnacentral:lncRNA from 1 species
AACAGUUUUGUGCUUCACUAUAAUAUCAUCAUAGAUCAUAUGCAUAAGUUUGUUUGGAUGCAGUUUGGUAAUUUAGAUGAUAGUUUUCUAUAUUUGUGGCUGAUAUUGUUAUGCAUUUUUUUUUGGCUUGUGGAUCUAUACUGAUUGUAUUACACAUGACUUGUGCCUUUUCAUUUUGGAUGGGGCAUAUGAUGAGAAACUGUAUGCAAACUCAUGACGGUCGUCUAAGAUACUUUGUGUAUAAUGUUGCAAUCAUAUUUUCUCUGAUGUCCCUUGUUCUUGAAGUCUGGGGUAUGCUAUCUGUGAUGGCCCUUGUAUUGCUGUAAUCAUGUUCUUGUUUAAUUGAGUUUUGCAAUCUUAAUCUGGAAAAAUAAUGCAAUCUAAAUGUUUCUGAGUUUCAUAAUGCCUAUUCAAAUCUAUUAAGUGAAUUACAUGCCUGGGUAACCUUGGCUUAAGAUAUGUUUUUUUAGUUUUCUGAAUUACCAUUUGUUUAUCUGAACUUGUAAAUCCCAUGUUGCUCUUAAAGGUUUGAACAACAUGAUUUUCCUUGUUUUUGUUUAAUGACAUUCAUCAGUCUAGAACCGAUCCUUGUAAACUGUAGUAGUGUCAGACCUCAAGAUGGUGAUUUAGAUCAUGCUUGGUUAGUUGUGAGGUUGCCUAUUUCUGUUGGUUUAUGUUAGGCAGUUUGUUUCCAGUUAUUUUGCCAAUAUUUGUACAUUUUUGGCUGGUCAAUCUGUACUGAUUGAAGGAUACAGGACAUAUGAUGAGAAACUUAUGUCACUCACGACGGUCGUCUGAGACACUUUGUGUGUAAUGUUGCAAUCAAAUAUUCUCUGAUGUCCUUGCUUUUUCAGCUUUGCAAUCUUAUUCUGGAAAAUUAUUUCAAUCUGAAAUUCUUAGUUUCAGAAUCUCUAUUCAAAUUUAUGAAGGUUGUAGGUCAAGUCUUCCAUGGUUUAUAUGCUAAUAGAUCCUUUUUUGGGCAAUCUUAUUUUGAGUUGAUUGAUAAAUGCUUAGGGAGUUAAUUUUUCAUAUUAACUCUUUUGUAGUUAUGUAAAAAUAUCUAACAGUGCAUGUUUUUUAUGGCACAAUGAGGAGUUAAUAUAUCUCUACCGAGGUUGGAAGACCAAUGACUCUUUAUGUCCUUUUCAUUCUGAGUGCCCUAUUUUGCUGCAAACCUCUUUAUUUUGAUUGAUAUAUGCUGUUUUCUUCUUGGUCUUUGUCUACCAGCCUUUUCAUUUUCUUCGCUGAACAGUUGGCUUUUGUGAAUGAACAUGUCUGGGUAACCUUGGCCUAAAUUUUGUUUAUUGGUUUUCUGAAUUUCCAUUUGUUGUUAAACUUCUAGCUCACUUGUCUUCAAGGUUUGAACAACAUAAUUUCCUUGUUGUACUUUGAACAUUUUCAUCACUCUAGUCUUGUCUUUACUGUAGAUGUGAGACUUAUCAUAUAUAAUGAUCAGCACUUGUUGUUUCUUUAGUGCUGUUUUUAUCCUUUGAUGAUCUUACUGUUGUAUAUGUUCCUUCACAGGGUUGGAAAGCAGCUUGUCAACAUUCCUUCUUUCAUGGUGAGGGUGGACACUGAGAAGCACGUCGACUUCUCUCUCACCAGCCCCCUGGGUGGUGGCCAACCUGGAAGAGUGAAGCGGAAGAACCAGAAGAAGGCCUCAGGUGGUGGUGGUGAUGACGGCGAGGAGGAGGAAGACUAAGCGCCCAGCCUCACCCGCAUAACUUUCGUUGCAGAAAUGUUGAGAUUGCCUUGUGGAACUCGGAAAUGAUUCAAACUUUCCUUCUUAGAAACUUAGUGGUGUAGAGCUUUCGUUGGUUCAGAAUCUUUUGGCUGUCGGUUCUAAAAUUAAACUUAUGUGUGUCGGUUUUGCUUGGUUAGUGACCACCGAGCAGAAGUGAACUCUUGAGGCUGCUUCGUUUUUUGUGAACCAAACGUAUCUUGUUUAUCGAUUUGACAAGCCUGGUUCUGAGUUAUUUUACUCUGCAUGAAAUGUUACUGUUGUCCUUACUAUUUUUCUCUUUUGUCUGAUCGGUUAGGCUGGUGACAAUUUCGAGUGUGUCGACCGAAUGAUACUCUUUCCCUGUCUAUAAUUACAAUUGUAGUAUUAGUAACUAAUCGUAAUGGGAAUGAGAAAUUUGUAGAAAUGCCGUAAUUUUAUCGAGAAACAUCACCGUCUUUGGAUAUCAGCCGAAACAUUCCUAUGAUACAUUCUUUGGAUAUUUGGGAUACAACCUUAGUGAUUCUUACCUCAGCAGCCCCGUUAGCUGAUUGCCGAUUCCAGCUUACCUCGUGUCAUUCCUUGCUAGCCAAAGAGCGUAUAAACCCUGGAUUAUCGUCGACCUCUUCCUCCGUGGCUUCUGCGGAUCAUGGCAUCAUCCAUCUCACUCUGAGAGCCUGCUGAAACAGGUGGCACCAUCCCCGGAGCUCCCAAUUCUGAGCACAAAUAUCUCCAAAAAGGUAUCGAGUGAGGACAUUGCCCAAAACCUGUGAUAUAAUGUCUCUCCCUACCACAUGUGGCGCAAUACACACCCGCCUUGAUCUGUCGACGACGAAGCUCACCCCCAACAGCGAGGCCAUUGCGCAUUAGCGGCCAUGUAUGUAUUCUUCUUUUUCUUUAUUUGGUCUAUCCCAUGGUGCAAGCCAUCCUUUGUGGUUGACAACGGUCGAAAAAGGUUUCUGUCAUCCGGUCUCAUGCGAUUCUUUGUCAUGGGCAAUUGGGCAGGUUAUCAGAAUUGCUAUUCUAUUAUAUGAUUUUACGACUUUACAAUCCAUACUAACUUCUUUGAUUCUACGAUUUUGGUUAGUAGAAUCUACGUUUUUAUGAUUCUGAUAGUUAAGAUUGUAUAAUUUGUGAUUCUACCAUCAGAGCUUCGAUCCGAUUCAGAAUUACAAUUAUGACAACCUUGGUUGACUUAACUGUGCACCGUCCUAAAAAUAAUAAUUAGAAAACAUAAUCGCCUUCAACAUCGACCUUACCAACAGAGGGCAAAAAGGGCCUCCCUUUCGAUUUGGAAAGAGCACCCCGAGAAUAAUAUUGAGCCGUUCUUCAAAUUCAAAGGUGAAUGCCGAUGCAACAAUAUAGGAUUAACGAAGAACCUCAAAGCAAGUUUGCGUUCACCACAAAACGUCAUAUCUGAUUUGGCCAAACAUAGAUCCACAAUUGUUUUCCCUUUCAUCUCCAUGACCCUAAAAGAGGUGAGGAACAAGGCCAUCAUAAGCCUGAUCCAGCCGUACGACAAGUUUACUAGGGGUCCCAUCGGGUCCACCACUUGCAAUCACAUAUUUCUCCAUAGAAAAUAACUAAGCUAAGGGGCGUGCGCCUUGAAACACCGCUAGAGAGCGCCGGAGUGAAACCCCACAACAACAUAGCGCCACAAAUGGUGAGGCCAUCGGAGGAGGAAGGGAGGGGUGCCGGAGCACCCUCAACGACUCCCAAGGAGGAGAGAUAAAGGGAAGGGGAAUAAGCCUACUUUCCUGUUUCCGAACCUAUCAUCGCUUAUUACUUGCCUUGUUUCUACAAUAAUCAUUGCUUAACUCAUGUUAGAUGAUAGAUUAGAGCAUGGUCAAUAAUGUAGCCGGUUGGUGGCUAUAGAGAGGGAACUGGAUCCUCUAACAUUAAGAAGGAAAGUUAGAGAAGCUACAAUUAGAUGCCAAGCCAUGUAAAGUUUUUAUGAAAAAAUAUUCAUAGAAUAGGUUCGCUCUUAGAUAGGCUCCAAGUACUCCCUCCGGUCCUUUUUAGUUCGCAUAUAAGAUUUGACUGAAGUCAAGCCUCAUAAAGUUUGACCAACUUUAUAGAAAAAAGUACUAACAUUCACAAUCUGAAAUCAAUAUUAAUAGAUGUGUCAUGAUUUAAAGUUUCAUAUUGUAUAACUUUAGCAUGUCAGAUGUUGAUAUUUUUUCAUAUAAGUACGGUCAAUUUUUGUGAAUUUUGACUUCAAAGAAUUUUAAUAUGCAGAGUAAAAAGGACUGGAGGGAGUAUUUAGUAUUUUCAUGAACAAUGCAUAAGAUUGGAAGUGAACUAUAUGCAUACUACUUUUUCCCGAUCCAUGUGCCAUAGCAGAGAAUAAGAGGCCACUCCAGACUCUAUCAUUUCUUCUCACUCUUCCAAAUAAGAUUUUAUGGAAUGAAAAGUCUUGUAGCCUACUGAUUAGGCUUUAUUAGACUUGCUUUUAGAGCAUGGUUAAUAGUAUAAUCAAACUGCUGGCUAUAUGAUCUUGUCACAUCAUCUGUAGUCGAGCUUAUAGCCGGCAAGUACAAUAAUUGCGUGUAAAUAUGUACUACUUUAUUGAUACAUGGUCUAUCUCUCACUCUCAUAAAGAAUCUAGGAGCACAUGCUACAACCGGUUAUUAAUAAGUAGUUCGCUUUUCUUCUCUCUCUUCUUCUCUCGUCUUUAUCUCAUAAAAAAUAUAUUUAAAGUCUUACAGCCCGCCUACAUCAUCUUAUUGUACUUGCUCUUAUCACAUUUAUCAUACUAAGAGCAUCUACAGUCAGACUUGGCAAAUCUGACCCCUCAAACACCUACGGAUGCGCCCGGGCGCGUCCGCAGACAGUGACCGAUCACGCCUCAAAUAAUCCAUUACACAACCGGAUACCUUAAAUUAGGAACCUCAAAUCCAUACUAUUACAUGCAACACAAACCUAAUCUUAAGCGAAGCCCGUCCAACUCCGCCGCUCCCAUGUCCGGCGGCUGGCUGCGCUCCCCAGAGUGUUUGUCCGUUCGUCGGCGAGUAGAGUAGGACAUGGGGCAGAAGCCGACUCACGAAACUCAAUGCGUCACCGUCUCCCAUGCUCUACACUUUCUCGUCGGAGCCCGGAACCCUGACGCUGUCAGUGGACGACAGAUCGAUGAUGGACCCAUCCUAGGAUGAGCCGACGACAUCCCCCAUGAUGCAGUUGCAGCACCCGGACUAGUGCACAGCAUGGGACACCGAAGAAUGCGACUUCGCCACGCCAACGUCCACUGCUGCCUCGCACGGCGGGCACGGCGGGCCAUGUUUGCGUCAGACGACGCCCAUGGUGCGUCAUGCUGCUCAGCCCUCCAACGGAGGGGCGCGUCCGCCACUGCUUUCGGACACCAGACGAACCGCACCGCCUCCGAUGAGGCAGCGAUGCCACAUGCCACGGCGGAUCCAUGCGUCAUUUGGGCGGACGCAAUGGAUUCCCGACAGAAGGAGUCCGAGAUCUGCCGUCGGGCGGCCUCCUCACGGGAGCGGCGGCGGAGCGCAAGGCGGACGGUCAUCUCCUCCUCGGGGCCACGUGGGAUGAGCUUAGACUCGACGGAUCUGGAGGUGUUGGGCUCGGAUCCGCUGGCUGCCAUGCCGAAGCAGUCCGGAGGGCGCGGAUAGGAGCUUCGAUGGCGGAUGGGAGUGGAAUAAAGUGGCUAGUGUUUGGUUCUAGAAGUGGGUGAAGAGGAAUAUACAUGGGGCUGGGUGGGUCAGCGUGGACCGGGUCCAAUGUGACGAACGCCCACAUAUCCAUCUCAGAUUUGGGCUGGAUAUGAGGGUUAGCCCGGACAUUUGUGCCCCGUUUGAAGCUUCCGUCUGAGUUGGUUUUUUGUGAUCGAUCACUAACUGGAUUGUCUGUUUGGACGUAUGAGACGGGUUUGAGGCGUCUAGCUGUAUAUGCUCUGAGCAGUGAGCUACGUAGUGCAUAGUUACCAUAUAAAUAAUAAAAAAUCAAGGAGUUUGGUUUAGUUAAUUAGCUCGUGGUUUGCGUGGAUAAGGACAUGUUUCGCUUGAAUCCACUGCACAGCCUGAACAGAUUCGCUACGAGGGUCACGCCUUUCGAUGGAAAGUGGAAGAAAUAUUGUUUGUUGCAGAAAGUGAUCUUUUAUUUUGUUAUUAUGCAGGAACAAUAAUGACAGUGCCAAAAAAAAUCUAAGAGCAUUUGGCUAACGUUUUAGAAGAUUCCUUGCAAAAAUAAAACUCGCAAAUAUAAUUUCUUUAACACAGUAUCGACAUAGACGCUUAUAUAUGCACGCAUACACUUAUUCUUAUUAUAACACACAUUCUACUCCUAUAAGCACCUUUAAAAAAUCGAGUCGGCAUAUUAUCUUGAGAUUGAGGAAGUCACUAAAGGCGCCUUGUAGUCAAUGGGAAUUUUUCCUCACACUAAAUGUGCAUAGCUGAAAGUACUGAAAUAAAUUCAAGAAUAAAUGUGAGCACCAGGCCAUGAACUUUGAUGGGUUGGGAAUACCACUUCCACAUAAGGGCAUAUCCAAUAGCAAUCCGUAAAUUUCCUCCCCUCAUCCGUCCGCAGACAUGGAUGCGAGAGGCCGCCGUCCAACCGUAGCCGCAUACACCCGGUUUUCUUUAUCUUUUUAAAUGCACACGAUCAAAUAGCCGCAUACAUAGGGUACAUACGUUCAAGUAGCCGCAUGCAGUAGUACUUCAAAAUUUAAAAAGUUCAAAUAUUACAUCCCAACAUUGUUUUCCCCUUUAACCGCCCAUUGAUACUCAAUCAGAUUUUCGUUCAGCUGCUCGCGAGUUCGUCAAUGCCGAAUUUGUUGAUGCAUUUAAAUAAACUCUUUAGAUAUGGCCGGAUUCUGGUCUGGAAGUUGGAUAGGAUCACCCAUGUUCUCAAAUUCUAGUGCCGCGGCAUCAUCGCCACCCUCAUCCUCAACGAACAUGUUGUGCAUGAUCACAGAACAUGUCAUGACCUCCCACAAGGCCUCCGGGUCCCAUUGUUUAGCAGGUCCACGAACAAUCGCAAAAUGGACCUGCAGAACUCCAAAUGCUCUCUCGGCAUCCUUUCUAGCUGCUUCUUGUGUUUGGGAAAAAUGAACCUUUUUCUGGCCAACUAGGUUAGAGAUGGUACUGACAAAAGUAGCCCACGGUGGGUAGAUACAAUCAACCAGAUAGUAUCCUAUAUUGUACUCAUGCUCAUUGAAAAUAUAGUAGCAAGGAAGAACUUUUCCUUCAAUCAGCCUCGCGAACAACGAUGAUCACUGCAGCACAUUGAUGUCAUUGUUCGACCUGGAAUGCCAAAAAAAGCAUGCCAAAUCCAAAGAUUUUGUGAUGGAACUGCUUCAAGAAUUAUGGUGGGCUUCUUAACACGACCCUGAUAUUUCCCUUGUAAAGCCUUCAGAUAGUUCUUCCAUUUUCAAUGCAUGCAGUCAAGAGAUACAAGCAAACCCGGCCACCCUCCUGCUUCUCAGAUUGCUAAGAGCCUCUCGAUGUCUGCCAGAGGUUGAUAGAGGCAAGGGUGUCCCAAUCUUUCGAUGAGAUGAUAACUAUCGAUUUGGUGGAGACGACUUUGACGAUCCGACUACAAACAUGCAAGACGUCGCGCCUUAGCAAUCGCUAAAUGAUACGUCUCCAACGUAUCUACUUUUCCAAACACUGUUGCCCUUCUUUUGGACUCUAACUUGCAUGAUUUGAAUGGAACUAACCCGGACUGACGCUGUUUUUAGCAGAAUUACCAUGGUGUUAUUUAUGUGCAGGAGCAAACGUUCUCGGAAUGACCUGAAACUUCAUGGAGCCACUUUUCAGAAAAUAAGAAAAAUACCUGCAAAAGAUGAAGCCAGGGGCCCACCACCUUGCCACGAGGGUGGAGGGGCGCGCCUGCCCCCUAGGGCGCGCCCCCUACCUCGUGGCCCCCCUGUUGCGUCUUCGACUCCAACUCCUACUCCAUAUAUUGAGUUUCGGGGAGAAAAAAUCAGAGAGAAGAAAUCAUCGCAUUUUACGAUACGGAGCCGUCGCCAAGCCCUAAAACCUCUCGGGAGGGCUGAUCUGGAGUCCGUUCGGGGCUCCGAAGAGGGGAAUCCGUCGCCAUCGUCAUCAUCAACCAUCCUCCAUCACCAAUUUCAUGAUGCUCACCGCCGUGCGUGAGUAAUUCCAUCGUAGGCUUGCUGGACGGUGAUGGGUUGGAUGGGAUCUAUCAUGUAAUCGAGUUAGUUUUGUUAGGAUUUGAUCCCUAGUAUCCACUAUGUUCUGAGAUUGAUGUUGCUAUGACUUUGCUAUGCUUAAUGCUUGUCAGUAGGGCCCGAGUGCCAUGAUUUCAGAUCUGAACCUAUUAUGUUUUCAUCAAUAUAUGAGUGUUCUUGAUCCUAUCUUGCAAGUCUAUAGUCACCUAUUAUGUGUUAUGAUCCGUUAACCCCGAAGUGACAAUAAUCGGGAUACUUACCGGUGAUGACCGUAGUUUGAGGAGUUCAUGUAUUCACUAUGUGUUAAUGCUUUGUUCCGGUACUCUAUUAAAAGGAGGCCUUAAUAUCCCUUAGUUUCCGUAAGGACCCUGCUGCCACGGGAGGGUAGGACAAAAGAUGUCAUGCAAGUUCUUUUCCAUAAGCACGUAUGACUAUAUUCGGAAUACAUGCCUACAUUAUAUCAAUGAACUGGAGCUAGUUUUGUGUCACCCUAGGUUAUGACUGUUACAUGAUGAACCGCAUCCGGCAUAAUUCUCCAUCACUGAUCCAUUGCCUACGAGCUUUCCAUAUAUUGUUCUUCGCUUAUUUACUUUCCCGUUGCUAUUGCUAUCAUCACUACAAAAUACCAAAAACAUUACUUUUACUACUGUUACCUUUUGCUACCGUUACCACUACUAUCAUAUUACUUUGCUACUAAACACUUUGCUGCAGAUAUUAAGUUUCCAGGUGUGGUUGAAUUGACAACUCAGCUGCUAAUGCUUGAGAAUAUUAUUUGGCUCCCCUUGUGUCGAAUCAACAAAUUUGGGUUGAAUACUCUACCCUCGAAAACUGUUGCGAUCCCCUAUACUUGUGGGUUAUCAAGACUAUUUUCUGGCGCCGUUGCCGGGGAGCAUAGCUCUAUUCUUUGAGUCACUUGGGAUAUAUAUCUGCUUAUCAUUAUGAAAAACUUGAGAGAUCCAAAAACCAAGAUCUAUCCCUCAACUACGAGGGGAGGUAAGGAACUGCCAUCUAGCUCUGCACUUGAUUCACCUUUUGUUAUGAGUAAGUUUGCGACACCUACACCUGCUUCUGCCAUUCGUUCUGACAUGUGGCAUGUUAUUGAUGAUGCCACUUCUGCUAUGCAUGAUACUUAUGAUGAAACUACCUCUAUGUCUGAUACUACUGUGCCACUUAGUGAUUUCCAUGAUGAACAAAUUGCUAGAGCUAGAGAAAUUGAAAAUAUUGAAUCUGAUGAUACUGAUGAAAGUGAUGAUGAAGAAUCACUUGUUAUUCCUAAGGGUUAUGUUUUUGAUCAAGAAGCUUCUUUCGCUAUCUUGGCUUGUGAAAAUAGAAAUGAACUAAAAGGUUAUUAACUAAAUGGAGUAAGCAAUCUCUAAGUGCUAGAAUGAAACCUGAUCCUGGUUUUGCUACUUCACCUAUCUGUGUUACUGAUAAGGAUUAUGAAUUCUCUGUUGAUCCUGAUAUAAUUACUUUAGUUGAAUCUGAUCAUUUUCAUGGUUAUGAAUCUGAAACAGUUGUGGCACAUCUUACUAAAUUGAAUGAUAUAGCUACCCUGUGUACUAAAGAUGAGAGAACUCGUUACUUUUAUAUCCUUAAAAUAUUUCCGUUCUCAUUAAAGGGUGAUGCUAAGAUAUGAUUUAAUUCUCUUGAUCCUGGUUGUGUGCGUAGUCCCUAGGAUAUGAUUUAUUACUUCUUUGCUAAGUAUUUCCCUGCUCAUAGGAAACAAGCUGAUUUAAGAUAUAUAUAUAUAUAUAUAUAUAUAUAUAUAUAUACAUAUAUAUAUAUAUAAUUUUGUGCAAAUUGAAGAAGAGAGUCUCCCACAAGCUUGGGAGAGGCUUCUCCAAUUACUUAAUGCUUUGCCUGAUCAUCCUCUUAAGAAAAAUGAAAUACUUGAUAUCUUUUAUAAUGGACUAACUGAUGCCUCCAGAGAUUACCUGGAUAGUUGUGCUGGUUCUGUUUUCAGGGAAAGAACACCGGAUGAAGCUGAAAUUCUAUUGAACAAUAUGUUAACAAAUGAAAAUAAUUGGACACCUCCGGAGCCAAUUCUUGAGCCUAUUCCUAAACCAACUCCGAAGAAGAGGGGUAUUCUAUUUCUCAGUCCUGAAAGAUAUGCAAGAGGCAAAGAAAUCUAUGAAAGAAAAGGGUAUUAAAGCUGAAGAUGUUAAGAAUUUACCUCCUAUUGAAGAAAAACAUGGUCUUAAUUUACCGCCUGUUGAAGAAACAUAUAAUCCAAAUCCUUCUCCUAUUGAAGAAACUCAUGAUCUUGAUAACCCGACACAGGUAGUAAAGGUAAAUUCUCUCUACAGAUAUGAUAAAGUUGAAAUCCCAUUUACUAAAUUUGCUAGCCCAUGCUUAGAUGAGUUUGAUAAAUUUAUGGCUAAGCAAGAAGAUUUUAAUGCUUAUUUUGGUAGACAAUUGAAAUACAAUUCAAAUAUGCUUGAACACUUGGGUGAUUAUAUGGCUAAUGUCAAAGGUGAACUUAAACUUAUUAGUAAACAUGCUUCUAUGGUUACCACUCAAGUAGAACAAGUACUUAAAGCUCAAAAUGAUUUGCUCAAUGAAUUGAAUAGUAAAGAUAAUGAUAAUGUUGUUAGAGUGGCUACUAGAACUGGUAGAAUGACUCAGGAAGCUUUGUAUCCUGAAGGCCACCCUAAGAGAAUUGAGCAAGAUUCUUAGAGAAAUAAUAUAGAUGUGUUGGAGAUAUGCCCUAGAGGCAAUCAUGUAUGAUGAUAUUUCCUAUGUGUUUAUGAAUAAAGAUAGUCCUUGGACAUUAUCAAUGAUGUGUAUCAGCAAGUACGUGACUUGUUUGUGGGACUAUGCAUUGUAUGAUGACUGUCCUAAAAGGUCCCUAGUCGAAAGGGCUGUGUGGACGCGCAGCCAACUAGACUAGCAUAUGACACGGUUGAUGGCUUGGUAUCACUAGCCAUGGAGCAUUGGAUGCUAACCGGAUAAUAUGGACUUGGAAGGAUCUGGUUGGAUUCGACGUAGUCGGAUCCGAGUCGAGAUAAGGUCCAAGUCGGACAGACCCAACUAUGAGACGCAGCGAUAUGUCAUCUGUGAGUCUCUAGUACAACUUAUGUUCUAUGUCCUAAGACCUGAGCUGACGCAUGUACUCAGGAUGGUGACAGACUUGCUUUGGUUCGACCAAACGCUACUCCGUAACUGGGUAGUUAUAAAGGUAGGUUUCGGGUUUGUCCAGAACCAUGCUGCGAGACGUGGUCGAGCAAGAUGGGAUUUGCCCCUCCGAUCAGGAGAGAUAUACUCUGGGCCCCUCGUGUGAUCCGACCAGGAUAAGCAUGGCCAUGCAACAAGGAUUAUGAGAUAAUCCGGUUUGUGGUCGGCAUCACUGGAACGAGAAAGAGGUCGGGCUAGCACAAGGAUGACAGACUCGCCUUGAGCUCGACAACAUAUAUCGUGUGGCAAAAGGAAUGGAAGUGUGAUGUACAGGUUCGCUAACCAGCUUCAUAGUCUGCUUGGUGUUCGGCAUGCCUUGCUAGAGGCCGCUACCAACCGUGCAGUUUGGAGGUGAUCCGAACUGCGACCAAGCCGACUUGAACCUAAGGGGUCACGCGCUUAAGGGAAGGAACCUACGAGGUCGGAUCAAAGGACACUGGUCGGAUGUGAUCCGAACUGUAUUCCGAUUGUGGCCGAGUAGACUUAUGGGCUUUAGGGUCCGUGCGAGGCCCAAGUGUUGAGCCCGUGACGAACGCCUAUAUAUAUAGUGGAGGUGCGGCACACUCAGUAGUUGAUCGCUUCGGCGCUGUCACUAGGGUUUGCAUGUGUUGCGAAUAGACACCUCCACUCGCUGCCGGUUGUGUGAUCGGACCUAGCAGUCCGCCGCACGAUGUUCCUCCUGCACGCGCGGAUACCGUUAGAGGCGGUGCACUUGCGCCCCCCGGCGAACCUGUACGUGGCAACCGACCACCGGCUCUGCGAGGGAGAUCGGACGAGGAGGAGACGAUCCACGCGGACGCUCUGCCCCAACUCUUCUUCCGCUGCACGGCACUGCGCGUCUAGUGGUAAUGAACUGUGAUCCAUCUCCCGUAGCACGUUCUUGGUUGUUAUGCGCGUAAGAAAUUUUAAUUUACAGUCGACGCGCCCUACCGUAGAUCCCAACAAGAUGCACCUAGUUCUUCUAAAAAGAAGAAAAAGAAAAAUGAUAGGACUUUGCAUGCUUCUAGUGAUCCUAUUGUUGAAACACCUGAGAAUCCAAAUGAUAUUUCUAUUUCUGAUGAUGAAACACAAUCUGGUAAUGAACCUGAAACUAGUGGUAAUAUUAAUGAUAAUGUUCAUGAUGAUGCUCAACCUAGUAAUGAUAAUGAUAUAGAAACUAAACCUGCUGUUGAUCUUGAUAACCCACAAUCAAAGAAUCAACGUUAUGAUAGGAAAGAUUUUGUUGCUAGGAAACAUGGUAAAGAAAGAGAGCCUUGGGUUUAGAAACCCAUGCCUUUUCCUCCCAAACCAUCCAAGAAAAAGGAUGAUGAGGAUUUUGAGCGCUUUGCUGAAAUGAUUAGACCUAUCUUUUUGCGUAUGCGAUUAACCGAUAUGCUCAAAACCAAUUCUUAUGCUAAGUACAUGAAAGAUAUUAUUACAAAUAAAAGAAAGAUACCGGAACCUAAAAUUUCCACCAUGCUUGCUAAUUAUACUUUUAAGGGUGGAAUACCAAAGAAACUUGGAGAUCCAGGAGUACCCACUAUACCAUGCUCCAUUAAAAGAAAUUAUGUUAAAACUGCUUUAUGUGAUCUUGGAGCCGGUGUUAGUGUUAUGCCUCUCUCUUUAUAUCGUAGACUUGACUUGAAUAAGUUGACACCUACUGAAAUAUCUUUGCAAAUGGCUGGUAAAUCAACUGCUAUACCUGUCGGUAUUUGUGAGGAUGUGCCUCUUGUAGUUGCAAACGUUACUAUUUUAACGGACUUUGUUAUUCUUGAUAUUCCCGAGGACGAUAGUAUGUCUAUUAUUCUUGGAAGACCCUUUUUGAAUACUGCAGGGGCUGUUAUUGAUUGCACUAAUGGCAAUGUCACUUUUCAUGUUAAUGGUAAUGAGCAUAUGGUACACUUUCCGAGGUAACAAUCUCAAGUUCAUAGUAUCAACUCCAUUGGAAAAAUUCCAUCGAUUAUAUUUGGAGGUUUUGAAUUUCCUCUUCCUACUGUCAAGAAGAAAUAUGAUAUUCUUAUUAUUGGGGAUGUGCAUAUCCCCGUUGAGGUAACAUAGUGUUAUUCAAAAUUUCUCCGGUUACAUGUUAUUCGGAAUGAGUUCGUUAACAAGACUUGAUCAACCUUGUUAGAGGAUUCCUUUUGAUAAUCAUGAGAUGGAUGAAACUAGAAGGCACAACCUUCUGUACCCUCCUUUUACUUUCUGUUAUUUAUAUUAGAUAAAAUGAAAAUAAAUAUUUUUCUGUCUGUUAUCUGAUUAUCCAUGCAAUAUAAAAAUACCUUAAAAAUAAAAGUUCUCCAAAUGCCCUGAAAUUUAAAUAUGAUUUUUUUCUAGAAUAUUUGAGAAUAUUUGGCACUGAGAACACAGCAGGGGGGCCAACCACGUGCCCAUGAGGGUGGAGGGCGCGCCCUACCCCCCUGGGCGUGCCCCUGCCUCGUGGGCCCACGGUGGCCCUCCUCCACUUAUCCUUUCAUCCACACACUUCAUCUUCAUCCCACAAACACGAAUAUCCAGCUCAAGCACGAGUUCUAGCUCAUUUUGCUGCCAUUUUCGAUCUCCUUGCUCAAAGCACCUCUCACAAAACUGCUUGGGGAGAUUGUUUCUUGAUAUGUGAUUCCUCCAUUGGUCCAACUAGUUUUUGAGUUAAUACCACUUCUAGUACAUAAACUUGUCCUGGUGGGAACAAGUUCAUACAAGAAUUAAAAAACCCCCCAUAAAAGUAGUACACAAACUUUUGCUAGCGGAACAUUUUAGUCCAUUUCCGUCUAUUCUGCCGGUGCACGGUCUCUGCUGUUAUAACGUUCGCUGAUAUGGAACCGGCUCCAUUUGUCAGUGUCGCACACAAAAGAAUAAAAUAGUACGCAGCCAGAUUCGAAACGAAGACCUCGCGCACUCAGUCUGCUUGUCAAAACUGCAACGCGCUAAACACUCUAACAAAAAACACUUGUUGUACAAAUUGGAGCUGCAACCUUUAUAAUCUUUUAUUCACGUACAGUUUACACUCAUAAUUUUUUCUUAAAUACGAAGAGCUGUAUUCUCCACUAAAGAUACGUUUAGUGCUCCAUUUGAGUAUGUAUGCUUCAAGUUUGAGCCAGGGUUUCUUGUACACGAGCCAAACCACGAUGCCGCUGUUCACUAGCUUCGAUAUAUGAACCACUGGCAUAUAUUCAACGACUGAGACCAAAUAACCGGGCCAACUAACAUAGCUAUAUUUUUGUGCUGGCAACAUUGAGCAGAUCCGUCAUCCCGCCGAUACAGUCACUAUCCCACAACACAACACUGUCCCCUUCACAGGAGGCGAGGCAGACCGGGGAUGAUGUCAGUGGGAGGCAGAGAAACCCUGGUUUUGGGGUGGCGGCCACUGUAGGGAAUCAUUUUCUCAUAAUUCACCAUCAGUAACCAUAAAUCAUUGGUUGUGUGGAUCAUUCGAUGUAGAGGCACAAUUGGGCCGCCUCUUCUUCCGGCGUGGCAUCGAAGUAGCAGGGAGGCGCGCUCACCCACUCACGGAUCUCGUCGGUCCACGAUUAGGUCUCCUCCGGCCAAGAGGGGGGGGGGAGGGGGUGACCGCUUGCAUGUGAGAGUUGGAUCGUGCUCCGGCUCCGGCUCGGCCUUGAGCUCGACGAUGGGCGGCGCCGACAGCGGUGGCGGCACGAACAAGGGUGCCUAGAUAGAGCCCCCCACCGCGGACAAAAGGGCUUGCUCCAUCCCAUCCCAAUGGUCGUCCUCCUUGAGUCGGCUCGUCUCCAGCGCGUGCUGCAAGGCCUCCUCGAGGGCGGCUUGGUACUCCGCCUCCUCUUCCUCCGGCUCUACCCUAAGGGGCGGCGGUGGAAACAGGGGGUUCAUGUGGACGCUUCGCCGUUGUUGCUCCUCGUGUUCGAGGGCAAAUCAGGCCUCCCAGUUGGGAGAGUCGGUGGCAUACUCGGGCAUUCGCCGCUGUGCUGGUGUGAGCUGCGCCUAGCGCCUGCGCACCUCCUCAUCGUGCGCUCGCUGUGACCGCGGAAUCACCGGCACCGGGAUCUGUUACAGAUCGAGGUGUCAGUGGCGUGACAGUGUCACGUCAGGGUAAGGCAACGACUGCCUAUAAUCCUAGCGCCACCAUGUUUGGUGCACCGGGAUGUGCAGACGCUGCCGACCUGAGUGGGAACGCGUCGGUGGUGGAGGAGGAGGGGGAGGAGGAGCACGGGAGGAUGAGGCGCCGGGGGUGCCCUUGCCCUUGUCGCUGCCGGAGCUGUUGCCGAAGAGGCCCAUUGCUAGGGUUUAGGUUGUCGCCGACGAGGAAGCACGAAGGGGGUGGUGGGGGCCAGAUGUGGACGGAAGUGGAUGAGGCCGCCCCCUUCCCCGCACACGUGGGUUAAGAAACAACGUUUUCACUGGCUGACUAGUGCACCCGGUGUCUGUGGUCGUCAUAAAUUAGAUGACGGGCGAUAGUUGCGUGGCCGCCAAGUGGGACCGCGACGGACACCGAGGGGACAUGCGGCGCGUCCGCUUUGCGUCCGUGCCGAUGCAUUUCAGGCACAAUUUUGGGCCGGAAAUGGGUUCAUGCAGACGCGAAGCGAACGGUUUUUCGAAAUGGGUCGGUGCGUUGGGCCGGUUUUUUUGUCUGCGACGACCCAAACAGACAUGGGUUGCCUCGUUGGAGUUGCUCUUAGGCCCACAAAAAAUAUUUUUAUUAAAUAGGAGUACGUAUUUCUUUUAGGUAUACCGAUCAGUGAUCGGUUGAAGUGUUCUCGUGCCGUGCGCGACCAAAGACUAUAAGAUGUGCAGCUCUGUUUGGAUUGACUCGCGCCUUAUGUUCGGGUGGUUAGCGCGCUGCUAGUUGCAAGCUAACUUGUGCGCGAGGUUUGCAGUUCGAAACCCCUCAGCUCGCUAUUUUGUUGUUUUGGUUUAUUCUUUCUUUGUGACACUGACAUACGGGCCCGGUUUCACGUCAUCAACUGUAGAAGCACGUUAUAACGGCAGGAGAUGAUGCACCGGCAGAAUAGACGGAAAUGGACUAAAAUGUUCUGUUAGCAAAGUUGUUGUACUACUUUUGUGGGGUUUUUUAGUUCUUGUAUGAACUUGUUCCCACCAGGACAAGUUUAUGUAUUAGAAGUGGUAUUAACUCUUAGUUUUUGUUCUAGUGCUUUAUUCAUUGCAAAUUUUUGCUGCUUAGGUGACCCUAUUCUUGAGCUUGCAUGUCAAAUUUAUAUGGUCAAAAGUAGUUUUGAUGCAUGAUAUAGGCCCUAGGCACUUGUAGGAGUAGUUGCUAUCAAUAUUAUUGAGUUUGGUUUACUUUUAUUUUGAAGUUACUAAAAAUUUCAGAAUUUUUCAGAAAAUGAUGAAGAGACUAUUGAGGGGCUCAUCGAGUCAAAGCUCGAAGGAAAAGGCACUGAAGUCUAAGUAUAAUUUGCCGUGCACCGCGGAGGUUCGGGCGUGUGAAUGGCCUUCCGAGGAUUUCUUGAGAGCAGCCGAUAUUUAUGAAGAUUUUCAUGAGUUGGCUAAGAAUGCAGGCCUCACCGCUUUCCUCCACGACCAAUGCGAUCAGUAUCUCUUACUCACAAAUACCUUUGUGCAAAACUUUCAUUUUCAUUCUAGGAAUUCGCCACCUACAGUGGAGUUUCAUUUAUAUGAUGAACAUAAGGAGAUGUCACUUUAUGAUUUUUGUCGGAUUUGUUUGGUCCCUUUUGAGGGCAAGACAUAAGAACCACAUCAUGAUGAUGUGGAGGGGUUUAUUGAUACUAUCACUGUAGGGGAAACUAGGAAGGUUUCCGAUGCACGAAUCACUAGCAUACAUUUUCCUAUUUUACGUUAGUUUGCAUUAUUUGCUAGUCGUUGCUUAAUUAGACGCGGAAACUGUGGAAACCUUAGUAUCCCUGAUAUCAUUAUUCUACUCCACGGUUUAUAUAGUGAUAACACUUUUAGUAUGGGCGGCAUUAUUGCUAAACGGUUAAGUCUGAAUCGUACCAAAGGCCCCAUCUUUGGAGGCAUCUAUGCUUCACGCCUAGCUGCACAUUUUAACAUACCUAUUAGGCAUUUUGAGAAGGAAGAAAAGGUGCUGCCUCGUGUUUAUCUAGAUUAUAAAAGUAUGGUGGCACAUGAUUUUAUUGUUAAGAAUAGGGAAGGAGAGCUUAAAUAUCAAUUGUUCUUUAAUAAACACCAUCAUGAGACUAUUGCCCUGCCUGCUCCUUCUUUGUUUGAUUUAUUUGUAGGCACGUACCUUGUACCGUUGAAGGCUAUUCACGCCUACCGGAACCCUGCACCAGCCGAGGAGCCAGAGUCGGAACCACAAGUUGAUCCUCCACGACAGUCUAAUUACCAGUGGGAUCCGGAGAUGAUUGUCAGCCAGUGGCAAUUGGAGUCUUCGUCUUCUUCAUCUCACUACGACCCGAACUACUAUUAUGGAUAUCCGCCAGGCCAGCCGUGGCCAUAGACCAACUUAGGCCAAAACCUAAGCUUGGGGGAGUACGUAUUUCCCACCGACAUUACAUUUAUGUUCACACACUCAUUGCUAUAUGUCGGUGCUCAUACUUUUUCAUUGUAUCAUCCAUGCUAGUUUACUUUCCUUUUUAUGCUUUCUUCUUGUGUGUUUAAUAAACCUUAAGAAAAACCCAAAAAAUUAGUUGUAGAUUUUAGUUAGUUUAAUUUCCAUGCUUGUAGUAGUAAUUAAAAAGAAAACCCAAAAAGAUUUCCUGUUCUUCUUUUGCUUGUUGGGAGCUUUCCUGUGUAAAUAGUUUUAUUUCUUUCCUUUUCUUUGGGGGUCGAUAGGAGAAGACCAUAAUUAAAUUGUUGAAGUGGCUCUUAUAUGCAUACUUGUUGAUUUGAUAAAAGAGCCCAUAUUGCCUUGUCUUUUCCUGUUUAUUGAAUGCUUGCAGAUUCCAUCUUAGUCCAAUGCACGUGCACUAUUAUUAUUAUUCACACUAUUCGGUCGUGCAAGUGAAAGGCAAUUAUGAUGUUAUAUGAUGGACUGGCUGAGAUGAGAAAAGCUAGUAUGAACUCGACCUCUUUUGUUUUUGUAAAUAUGAUUAGUUUAUCGUUCCUGAUUCAGCCUAUUAUAAAUAAACAUGUUUGCAAUGACAACUAGAGAUCAUAGUUUCUUAUGCCAUGCUUGAUUAGCUAUGAGUCAUAAUGGUUUACCUUGCGUGCCAACAUGCUAUUAAAAUGGUUAUGAUGUUGUAUGAUAGGGUGGUAUCCUCCUCUGAAUGAUUUAAGUGACUUGACUUGGCGCAUGUUCACGCAUGUAGUUGAAACAAAAUCAACAUAGCCUUCACGAUAUUUAUGUUCAUGGUGGAUUAUAUCCUACUCAUGCUUGCAUCCGGUGUUGAUUAAUUUUAAUGCAUGUUCAUGACUGUUGUCGCUCUCUAGCUGGUCGCUUCCCAGUCUUUUGCUAGCCUUCACCUGUACUAAGCGGGAAUAAUGUUUGUGCAUCCAAACUCCUUAAACCCCAAAGUUAUUCCACAUGAAUCCACUAUACUGUGACGUCCCGAGACCGUUGCGCCAGGUGUCUUCCAGUUAUUCGCUGUCAUUGCCAUGUCAUUUGCUUGCAUGUUGCAUUUCAUCAUGUCAUCAUGUGCAUUGCAUCAUCUGUUUUUGAUAUCUGCAUCCGUCUGGGUUCCCCCAGUUCCGUCCGUUGUCCGUUAUGAGCCCAACCACACUUGCACGCGCCCGCGGCACGUCCGAAAUAUUAUUUUAUAGGUGGCCGGAAAAUGUUCUCAGAAUGGGAUGAGAGUUGGCAUGCGGUGUUGUUAUAGUGUUCUGCCAAGUUUCAUCGCAUUCGGAGUUCAUUUGAUAGCCCAACCAUUACACUAUAGCGGCAGUAUAGCCGGUCUAUCGUCGGGCGUUUUCGGUCUCCGGAAACAGUCGCCGGACCUCUCCUCUUCUCUCUUCUCAGAACUUUGCCUUCUGCACUACCUCUCACCACCAGGCCCUAUCUAUCCUCUCUCGUCAGCCCGCGGACCUCCUCCUGCGCGCGUCCAAAAUCUGUCCCGGACCCGACCCGGACUGUCGCCAUCGUUGUGUCCGGAUCAUCCCCAAACAUCUACAAAACGUCACCGUUUUCUUAUUUGGACUCCCUACCUAUUCUUUAUUCUCUCGACCGUCCGAUUUCGAUCGGAGGGACCAAAUGGCCAUAUGCCUAGCCCACUGCUAUAUAUUCAGAUGAAACCCUAGGCCUAGCUAUCCCAUCCAUCAAAUCCUCCCCCGCCGCCGCCACUGUCAUUCUCCCACCUCGGGAUCCCCUUCGCACCAACCAGCCACCACCAAACUGCCAAAUCCAUCGCUCCACACAAACUAGAGCCCGCACCCAUGGUCCAAAUCCUCCCCGACCAGCCUCCUCAUUCCUCGGGAUCGAGCCUGAGGCAACGAGCGCUGCUCCUGAUUCCCUCGAUCUCGUGUCUCUCUCCAACACCCUCGCUCGAUCUGGACUAGGAGGGCCCCGAGCUCCUCGACCACCGCCUCGCGCGCCCGAUCCUCGAGCCGCCUCCUCUGCCUCGUUCCCGAAGCCGUUGGCGCUGAGCUCCCCCUUGCGCCGCCGUGCACCUCGCGCCCCGAGCACCUCGUCGCUGCUGCCCAAACAACCGCCGGCAACCAGCAGGUUACCAGCGCCGCGCCCCUGCCUCUAUUUUUCUUCUCCACUGAGGCCCUCUCUCUCUUUCCUCAACUCUCUCUCGUCUUUAGGGACCCCAUGACGCCGCCGCAGACCCGGCCAUGGAGCCAUGGAUACUGCCCUGCAGCUCUGUAGCCAAGACCGUGCGCCCUCUCCGUCCGGAGUUCCUGCUGCCGCCAUCGUUGUUCGACGCCAGCGCCUCGACUCUUCGAACCAUGGACGAACGCCUCACACCGAGUCCGCCGCCAUCGCCCCGUUCUUCUUCAAGCCGUGGUCGUGCUGCCGCAGAAGUGCCGCCAUGGAUGCUCGAACCUCCCUCUGCUUCCCGCGUGGGAUGACCCCAGUGCCGCGCCCCUGCUUUGCCUCGCCGGCAGCAAGCUCCGCCACGCCAAGUCCGCCGCCGUUCCCGAGUCUCCGGAUGCCAUGGACUUCCUCCACCGCUCAAUGCUGCCACGGGACACCGGCGCCCCCAACCUCCUCAUCGCCCGCACGCCAACAGGUCCCCUGCCUCGCCGCCCUAUGCUUGGAUCCGGCCGUCCCCGCGCCGUCACGACCCUGCAGAGACGUGCCCAAGACCCAUCUGCGUCGCCGUUCAAGUCCCAGCACUGCCUCGUUCUUCUUCCUGGAGCGAGAGUAGCCACCUGCAUCGUCUGAAGCCGCCCGCGUUCCCCUCUGUCUUCUUCCUGUCGAACAGAGGAACCGCUGCCUCGCUCGCCCGUGUUGACCCCGUCCCAGCGCGCUUCCAGUCCAGCAAGGCCCAACCGCUAGAUCCGGCCCAGCGUGGUGAGGGCACCCCGCGUCCCUCUUUUUUUCUCUUUCCCUCCUGUUGGGUCAGCCAUCCUGUUGUGUUUCGGCCCAGUGUGUUUUUUCCCUGCUGUGAUUUUGUCUUUUAUCUAGAGAUUUACCGGUUUUACAGAAAAGCCCUUCAAGUCCAUGCAUUUAAUAACUUUAUAACCAUGCAUCACAUGUAAAAACUUUAUAUAUGAAAGUUGCUUAGAAUCUUGUCUAGUUUCAUAAUAUGCCCCUUUCACCCAUGUUCGAAAUGUUUAAAAUGCUGUUUGAUUAAAUUUACUCCUAUGCCAUGCUAAAAUGCUUUAUUUCAUAACUAAAUAACCAUAACUCGGUUUGUAACAAACUUUAUAUGUAAAUGGGGUAGAAAAAUGCCUAGUUUAACAUGGUGGCCUCACUUUGCAUGUUUAACAACUAUAAAAUAUGGUUUAGGGCAGAACAGUACCAUAACCAAAAUAUGCACAUGAGGAGUUUCCAGACUUGUUGUUUGUCGUUCCGGCCUCAUUUAAACUUUCCUAGAUAGGUAGUUUUCAUUUGCUUCACCCUCUUGCCAUGUUUAACAACAUUUAAUAUUGUUGGGUACAUAAACGAGCUAAAUAACUUGAAUGUGGUGUUUCGUCAAUAUGCAACGGAGUUGCAUAUUGAGCUCCACUUAAUUUGUAGGAUUGCUUGUGCACUUUGCCAUGCCAUGCCCUCUUUAAAUCGGACAUGCAUCAUACUUGGUUGUGCAUCAUGCCAUGUUAUGUGGUGGUUGUUUACUAUGUUUGUUUGCUUCUUUCCGGUGUUGCUUCGUCGGGUUGGUUCCGAUAACGUCGUGUUGUGAGGAUUCGUUCGGCUACGUCCGUUUGUCUUCCUCAUGGACUCGUUCUUCUUCCUUGCGGGAUUUCAGGCAAGAUGACCAUACCCUCGAAAUCACUUCUAUCUUUGCUUGCUAGUUGCUCGCUCUUUUUGCUAUGCCUAUGCUGCGAUACCUACCACUUGCUUAUCAUGCCUCCCAUAUUGUUGAACCAAGCCCCUAACCCACCUUGUCCUAGCAAACCGUUGUUUGGCUAUGUUACCACUUUGCUCAGCCCCUCUUAUAGCGUUGUUAGUUGCAGGUGAAGAUUGAAGUUUGUUCCUUGUUGGAACAUGGAGAUGUUGUUCCUUGUUGGAACAUGUUUACUUGUUGGGAUAUCACAAUAUCUCUUAACUAAUUAAUGCAUCUAUAUACUUGGUAAAGGGUGGAAGGCUCGGCCUUAUGCCUGGUGUUUUGUUCCACUCUUGCCGCCCUAGUUUCCGUCAUAUCGGUGUUAUGUUCCCAGAUUUUGCGUUCCUUACGCGGCUGGGUUAUAAUGGGAACCCCUUGACAGUUCGCCUUGAAUAAAACUCCUCCAGCAAUGCCCAACCUUGGUUUUACCAUUUGCCACCUAGCCUUUUCUUUCCCUUGGGUUCUGCAGACUCAAGGGUCAUCUUUAUUUUAACCCCCCCGGGCCAGUGCUCCUCUGAGUGUUGGUCCGAAAUGGGCAGCCUGCGGGGCCACCUCGGGGCAACUCGAGGGUUGGUUUUAAUCGUAGCUUGACCUAUCUGAGUGUGCCCUAAGAACAAGAUAUGUGCAGCUCCUAUCGGGAUUUGUCGGCACAUUCGGGCGGUGUUGCUGGACUUGUUUUACCAUUGUCAAGGAUGUCUUGUAACCGGGAUUCUGAGCCUGAUCGGGUCUUCCCGCUAGAAGGAAUAUCCUUCGUUGACCGUGAGAGCUUGUGAUGGGCUAAGUUGGGACUCCCAUGCAGGGAUUUGAACUUUCGAAAGCCGUGCCCGCGUUUAUGGGAAGAUGGGAAUUUGUUAAUGUCCGGUUGUAGAAAACCUGAAGUUGACCUUAAUUAAAAUACGUCAACCGCGUGUGUAACCGUGAUGGUCUCUUUUUGGCGGAGUCCGGGAAGUGAACACGGUGUUGGAGUUAUGUUUGACGUAGGUUGUUUUAGGAUCACUUCUUGAUCAUAGUUGUUCGACCGUGCUUUUGCCUUCUCUUCUCGCUCUCUUUUGCGUAUGUUAGCCACUAUAUAUGCUAGUCGCUUGCUGCAGCUCCACCUCAUACCUUUUACCCUUCCUAUAAGCUUAAAUAGUCUUGAUCGCGAGGGUGUGAGAUUGCUGAGUCCAUGUGACUCACAGAUACUUCCAAAACCAGCUUGCAGGUGCCGUUGAACUGUGCAGAUGACGCAACCAAGCUCAAGGAGGAGCUCGAUGAAGAUCUUGUCCUUUUGUGUUGUUUCGUUCUAGUUGAUCAGUAGUGGAGCCUAGUUGGGGUCGAUCGGGGAUCUGUGUAGCAUUUGGGGUAGUCUUCUUUUUAUUUUGGUUCCGUAGUCGGACCUUGUGUGUAUCUGGAUGAUGUAAUGCUUUAUUCUUGUAUUUGUGUGAAGUGGAGAUUGUAAGCCAACUAUGUAUCUUUUCCCUUAUGUAUUACAUGAGUUGUGUGGAGAUUACCUCACUUGCGACAUUGCUUUCAAUGCGGUUAUGCCUCUAAGUCAUGCUUUGACACGUGGGAGAUAUAGCCGCAUUGAGGGCAUGACAAGUUGGUAUCAGAGCCUUCCCCGACCUUAGGAGCCCCCUACUUGAUCGAAUCACUGGCGUUAUUGAGUCUAGAAAUGUUUUGAGUCAUUUAGGAAUUAUAUAUAUCGGAGAGUUAGGACUUCUUUUUACUCCUCAGUCCCUUCGUCGCUCUGGUGAGGCAUCCUGACGUAGAGUUUUGACUCUUCUCUUCUCAAAUUUCACUAAAAAAAUUUAGGAUCACGCGGGUAUCUUGGAAUCGUUCUGAUGGUUUUGUGACGAGAACAUUGUUCUUGGUGCCUCCUGUCAUUUAGGGGUUGUGGCAGUGUCCCGAGGAGUUGAGCUCCAAGGUGUUGUCGUCACAAUUUUAUCGUUGCAGUUCUGGAAUACCUGAGUUUAGGUUCGCCGACAUCGAAAAUCUCUUUUAUGCAGUUGUUGGUGAGAUAACCUCGACGCCACCUAGUACUGGGGCGGGAGUUCGGGAGUAUCGCCAUAACUCGUAUAACAGAUGCUUUCCGAAGGUUGAGGUAGACGAUUUCCGAAGGUUUCUUGGUUAUGUGUUGAAGGAUGGAUACAGCUGGAUGUAGGAUUUGCUAGUUUUGGGUGAGAUAUUAUGCUUCCCCUGUAUCCCCAACACCUGAUUGCAUAACCGGAAAAUUUCGGGAGUUUAUAAGUGGGAAUUCAAGUAGCUCUUAGGAUAUCUUUUCGACAGAUGUAUGAUACGAAAUUGGGGUUCGACGUCUAGUGGUCCGCCUAUUCACGGUUGGUUUUACAGUGGUCUCGUUGUGUCUUAAAGAGUCCUUGGCUAUGCUGACUCGGGGACGCUUCGUAUGUCAUGUGCACUGCCUUGUACAUGAUGGUGCUGUACGAUCGAGCCCGUGUAGGCCCCACCACAAAAACUUCGGACGAAAUCUCUAUCAUAUGUUUGUUCCGGCUUAUUUUGCAAGAUAAUCCUUGUUUUGUUUUGAGUUGUGGUAUCCGAGUUGCUUCGAAGUCAAAUGUUGAUUCCAUACCUUUCCUAAGUGGUGUUCUCAUAUUUCUAUGUAAAUACUAAUCCUUUUCGAUAAUCGAGAUCAUCAUGCCAAUCCUUUUCAACCGGCGUGUUUCUCUUCAAGUGGAUCCAAUCAUUUCAACAUCCGCAAGAUCAACUCAAGUCUUCUCAACGGUGUUUGUUUCAUUCGUCUCCAAGUUGCCUUUGUUUUCCCGCCCACCCUCCCCUUUUUUUCUUCAAGGAUUAUUAAUUCUUAAAAACUAUCCAUCUUAUUCAUGUGAAGCCUCUUCUUUUUUUCAAUCAAUGUUCUUACCCGGUGAUGCUCAUGAAGAUUUUAAUGGAGUUUCUAGUUCACCAUUAUUCAUUCUUUUUCUUCUCCGGUGGAACCAAGUCAAGCUUUGUGGAUCAUAUCCUUUUUCCUCGUUUCAAAUACCUUUUAUUACCGGUGCACCUCUUUAUCAUUCACCUCUCGCUAUUCAUUUGUUCCGGAGUGCUCAAGAUAUCUCGAAGAUUCGUGUUUCCACUCUGCAUUCGUUCAAGAUCUUUCGAGGAUGUUACCUCAUUCAAGCCAUUUAUUUCAACCAGCGCAAUCUAUCUUCUAAAUCAUUCAACGGUGUUUUUUUUGAGUGGGCCCUAACCCACAGGUCUUUUCCCAGGAUCUUACCUAACUCUUCUUAUUUUUUUUCCUGGAGCUAUCCUCAAUUUCUUUUCUAAAGUUUGACAUAAGAAUGAAUUGUCAUCAGUCAUAUGUAUUUUCGUCAAGAUCUUUCAAAUUCUUUUCAUCAAUGGCUCAACCUUUUCUAUUCUUCAUUCCGGAGUGUCUAAACAAUUCUUGGUGGUGUUUCCCGUCGUCAUUCUCAGUUUUUGAAGACCGAAGAGGAGUUUCUUUUAAAUAUUGCCUCAUUCUCUGCCAUCCUCUCAUAAUUGUUUUCGGUUGUGUGAUUUUUUCACCCAUCCGGAGCAAUUCAAGAUUCUGUUCAAUUCGAUUCAUCCGGAGCCCAUCAUUUCAGAAGACUUAUUCAUUCUCAGCUUUCAGCUCUCGUUCUCCAAAUCUUACCGGUGCAUCGUUCAAACAUUCUCUUAUCAGCUAGUGAUCUUUUCGUUUUCAUGUAUCUACAUUGUCUCAAGUAUCUUCGUUCAUUUCACAAUUCUUACCCGGUGAUUAAUCCCUUUACUUUGUUCAAUUUUUUUACAAUUCAUACGGCGGUUCGUUCAAGAGCUCUAUUCGUGGGUUAUCAUAUCAAUUUAUUUGUUGUUUCAACCCUUCCGGUGGUUCGUUGAAGACCUUCUCAAGUUUUGCGCUAUAUCUCUCUUAAUCCUUGCUAUGAGAAUAAGUUGUGUGCCAAACCCAUUUGUUUGUCAUCAAUCUAAUUGGUGAAGGUUAAGCAUAAUAUAAUUCUUAUUCCUGUUUCAUCCAUAUGUUAAUCUUUUCUUCCAGAGUUUGUUCACGAUGAUUAAAUUCUUGGUUUCAAGUGCUCGUCUUUCUUUACCGGAGUUCCAAGCUCUUUCAAUUAUAUCGUUUCAAAGAUCCAUCUAAUCAUUGCAAGAAUUCACCUUGUGUUUCCAACUUCUCUCUCCUUUCGUUUGAUCAUCCCUUUGCUUACCGGAGUUCUUCACGGAGGUUAUACAUGAUGGUUCUUCAAGGAUUUAAUUCCUUCUUGAAGUAUUCAUCAAGAUUCUUUUCAGAGGAGUUCAAGCAUUCUUCUUCUUGCUAUCCGGAGUGCAAGUCUUUCUUCCAUAUCAUUGGAGGUGGUUUUAUGUCAUUCUUGAUUAUUUGAGUUUGUGUUUCAUGUUUCCCAUGUUGUCAAGAAUGAGGUAUCUUAAAUCCAUCAAUCUCUUUGUUGGAGUUAUCUUGUGUCAUGUUUCACCUAAAGCCUUCCCUAAGGAUUGUUGCUACCUAUGGCGCUUAAAAUGACCAAAGUUCUUCAUUUAUCCUCCCGGUGAAAUAAGUUUCUCGUCUCCUUGUUCUUAUCAAUCCAAUUCUUUUUCCCGUGAGUGGCAGGUUGUCACCUCAUAAUUUGAGACGUAUUCCAUAAGACCAUAUCAAGCUUAUUCUUUUCGUUGUUGGUUUUCCAACAACUCCGUUCUAGCAUUUGUUGUAAGCGUGCUCUCUCAAGACCUUGUUUCCCUUCGUUCACUCCAUUCCAUUCUUACUUUUGUUCCGGAGGCAUUGUGAUGUUCAUCUUUUCAACCCAUAAUCUCGUUUUGUCAAAGAUCAUGUUCUUUUAAUGCCUAUCCAUUUAACCAGAGUGUUGUGCCCUUUUGCUCAAGUUCUUUUUGCUUUAUCACACCUUGUACAUAUUGUUUUAACCGGAGUGCUUGCAUGUACUUCUUGUCCUUUGCAACCUUUCUCUUGUGCCUUUUAACCUACAGGGCUCUCGUGAUGUUCCUUGUUCCUCUUUUCUUAACGGAGUGCUUUGAACUUCGUUCAUCCCUGUUGUAUUCUUUUCUCGAGAUGGCUUAACCUUUUCAAGGUUCUUUGGUUUCACUCGCUUGUCAAAGAAGCAACUUAGUUUUACAUCUUCUCUUUCUCUUCUGUUUUCCCUCCGGUGCCAUUCUAGAUCUCGGGACGAGUCCUCUCGUAGUGGUGGAGUGUUGUGACGCCCCGAGACCGUUGCGCCAGGUGUCUUCCAGUUAUUCGUUGUCAUUGCCAUGUCAUUUGCUUGCGUGUUGCAUUUCAUCAUGUCAUCAUGUGCAUUGCAUCAUCUGUUUUUGAUACCUGCAUCCGUCCGGGUUCCCCCAGUUCCGUCCGUUAUCCGUUCUGAGCCCAACCACACUUGCACGCGCCCGCGGCACGUCUGAAAUAUUAUUUUGUAGGUGGCCGGAAAAUGUUCUCAUAAUGGGAUGAGAGUUGGCAUGCGGUGUUCUUAUAGUGUUAAUAGGUCGCCUGCCAAGUUUCAUCGCAUUCGGAGUUCAUUUGAUAGCCCAACCGUUACACUAUAGCGGCAGUAUAGCCGGUCUAUCGUCGGGCGUUUUCGGUCUACGGAAACAGUCGCCAGGCCUCUCCUCUUCUCUCUUCUCAGACCUUUGCCUUCUGCACUACCUCUCACCGCCAGGCCCUACCUAACCUCUCUCGUCAGCCCGCGGACCUCCUCCCGCGCGCAUCUGAAAUCUGUCCCGGACCCGACCCGGACUGUCGCCAUCGUUGUGUCCGGAUCAUCCCCAAACAUCUAGAAAACGUCACCAUUUUAUUAUUUGGACUCCCUACCUAUUCUCUAUUCUCUUGACCGUCCGAUUUCGAUCGGAGGGACCAAAUGACCAUAUGCCUAGCCCACUGCUAUAUAUUCAGAUGAAACCCUAGGCCUAGCUGUCCCAUCCAUCAAAUCCUCCUCCGCCGCCGCCACUGUCAUUCUCCCACCUCGGGAUCCCCUUCGCACCAACCAGCCACCACCAAAACUUCCAAAUCCAUCGCUCCUCACAAACUAGAGCCCGCACCCAUGGUCCAAAUCCUCCCCGACCAGCCUCCUCAUUCCUCGGGAUCGAGCCCGAGGCAACGAGCGCUGCUCCUGAUUCCCUCGAUCUCGUGUCUCUCUCCAACACCCUCGCUCGAUCUGGACUAGGAGGGCCCCGAGCUCCUCGACCACCGCCUCGCACGCCCGAUCCUCGAGCCGCCUCCUCUGCCUCGUUCCCGAAGCCGUUGGCACCGAGCUCCCCCUUGCGCCGCCGUGCACCUCGCGUCCUGAGCACCUCGUCGAUGCUGCCCAAACAACCGCCGGCGACCAGCAGGUUACCAGUGUCGCGCCCCUGCCUCUCUUUUUCUUCUCCAUUGUGGCCCUCUCUCUCUCUUUCCCUCACCUCUCUCUCGUCUUCAGGGACCCCAUGACGCCGCCGUAGACCCGGCCAUGGAGCCAUGGAUACCGCCCUCUGCAGCUCUGUAGCCAAGACCGUGCGCCCUCGCCGUCCGGAGUUCCGGCUGCCGCCGUCGUCGUUCGAGGCCAGCGCCUCGCCUCUUCGAACCAGGGACGAACGCCUCGCACCGAGUCCGCCGCCAUCGCCCCGUUCUUCUUCAAGCCGUGGUCGUGCUGCCGCAGAAGUGCCGCCAUGGAUGCUCGAACCUCCCUCUGCUUCCCGCGUGGGACGACCCCAGUCCCGCGCCCCUGCUUUGCCUCGCCGGCAGCAAGCUCCGCCACGCCAAGUCCGCCGCCGUUCCCGAGUCUCCGGAUGCCAUGGACUUCCUCCACCGCUCAUCGCUGCCACGGGACACCGGCGCCCCCAACCUCCUCACCGCCCGCACGCCAACAGGUCCCCUGCCUCGCCGCCCUAUGCUUGGAUCCGGCCGUCCCCGCGCCGUCACGGCCCUGCAGAGACGUGCCCAAGACCCAUCUGCGUCGCCGUUCAAGUCCCAGCACUGCCUCGUUCUUCUUCCUGGAGCGAGAGUAGCCACCUGCAUCGUCUGAAGCCGCCCGCGUUCCCCUCUGUCUUCUUCCUGUCGAACAGAGGAACCGCUGCCUCGCUCGCCCGUGUUGACCCCGUCCCAGCGCGCUUCCAGUCCAGCAAGGCCCAACCGCUAGAUCCGGCCCAGCGUGGUGAGGGCACCCCGCGCCCCUUUUUUAUCUUUCCCUCCUGUUGGGUCAGCCAUCCUAUUGUGUUUCGUCCCAGUGUGUUUUUUUCCCUGCUGUGAUUUUGUCUUUUAUCUAGAGAUUUACCGGUUUUACAGAAAAGCCCUUCAAGUCCAUGCAUUUAAUAACUUUAUAACCAUGCAUCACAUGUAAAAACUUUAUAUAUGAAAGUUGCUCAGAAUCUUGUCUAGUUUCAUAAUAUGCCCCCUUCACCUAUGUUAGAAAUGUUUAAAAUGCUGUUUGAUUAAAUUUACUCCUAUGCCAUGCUAAAAUGCUUUAUUUCAUAACUAAAUAACCGUAACUCGGUUUGUAACAAACUUUAUAUGUAAAUGGGGUAGAAAAAUGCCUAGUUUAACAUGGUGGCCUCACUUUGCAUGUUUAACAACUAUAAAAUAUGGUUUAGGGCAGAACAGUACCAUAACCAAAAUAUGCACAUGAGGAGUUUCCGGACUUGUUGUUUGUCGUUCCGGCCUCAUUUAAACUUGCCUAGACAGGUAGUUUUCAUUUGCUUCACCCUCUUGCCAUGUUUAACAACAUUUAAUAUUGUUGGGUACAUAAACGAGAUCGAGCUAAAUAACUUGAACGUGGUGUUUCGUCAAUAUGCAACGGAGUUGCAUAUUGAGCUCCACUUAAUUUGUAGGAUUGCUUGUGCACUUUGCCAUGCCAUGCCCUCUUUAAACCGGACAUGCAUCAUACUUGGUUGUGCAUCAUGCCAUGUUAUGUGGUGGUUGUUUACUAUGUUUGUUUGCUUCUUUCUGGUGUUUCUUCGCUGGAUUGGUUCUGAUAACGUCGUGUUGUGAGGAUUGGUUCGGCUACGUCCGUUUGUCUUCCUCAUGGACUCGUUCUUCUUCCUUGCGGGAUUUCAGGCAAGAUGACCAUACCCUCGAAAUCACUUCUAUCUUUGCUUGCUAGUUGCUUGCUCUUUUUGCUAUGCCUAUGCUGCGAUACCUACCACUUGCUUAUCAUGCCUCCCAUAUUGUUGAACCAAGCCUCUAACCCACCUUGUCCUAGCAAACCGUUGUUUGGCUAUGUUACCGCUUUGCUCAGCCCCUCUUAUAGCGUUGUUAGUUGCAGGUGAAGAUUGAAGUUUGUUCCUUGUUGGAACAUGGAGAUGUUGUUCCUUGUUGGAACAUGUUUACUUGUUGGGAUAUCACAAUAUCUCUUAACUAAUUAAUGCAUCUAUAUACUUGGUAAAGGGUGGAAGGCUCGGCCUUAUGCCUGGUGUUUUGUUCCACUAUUGCCGCCCUAGUUUCCGUCAUAUCGGUGUUAUGUUCCCGGAUUUUGCGUUCCUUACGCGGUUGGGUUAUAAUGGGAACCCCUUGACAGUUUGCCUUGAAUAAAACUCCUCCAGCAAUGCCCAACCUUGGUUUUACCAUUUGCCACCUAGCCUUUUCUUUCCCUUGGGUUCUGCAGACUCAAGGGUCAUCUUUAUUUUACCCCCCGGGCCAGUGCUCCUCUGAGUGUUGGUUCGAAAUGGGCAGCCUGCGGGGCCACCUCGGGGCAACUCGAGGGUUGGUUUUACUCAUAGCUUGACCUAUCUGAGUGUGCCCUGAGAACGAGAUAUGUGCAGCUCCUAUCAGGAUUUGUCGGCACAUUCGGGCGGUGUUGCUGGACUUGUUUUACCAUUGUCGAGGAUGUCUUGUAACCAGGAUUCCGAGACUGAUCGGGUCUUCCCGCUAGAAGGAAUAUCCUUCAUUAACCGUGAGAGCUUGUGAUGGGUUAAGUUGGGACUCCCCUGCAGGGAUUUGAACUUUCAAAAGCCGUGCCCGCAGUUAUGGGCAGAUGGGAAUUUGUUAAUGUCCGGUUGUAGAAAACCUGAAGUUGACCUUAAUUAAAAUACAUCAACCGCGUGUGUAACCGUGAUGGUCUCUUUCCGGUGGAGUCUGGGAAGUGAACACGGUGUUGGAGUUAUGUUUGACGUAGGUUGUUUUAGGAUGAGUAAAAUGCAUCAUAAGUCCUAAAACUAUCGGAGGUGUGUCAGUUUAGUCCUAUAACUUUGAAACUGCACUUUUGGGUCCUAAAACUAUCAGAGAUGUGUCAGUUUAGUCCUAUAACUUCGAAACUGCACUUUUGGGUCCUAAAACUAUCAAAGGUGUGUCAGUUUAGUCCUAUAACUUUGAAACAGUAGUUGUGGGUUCCAAAACUAUGUAAGUUUCUUCCUCUUAGGUCCUAAGCUUGCAUGGUUAGGAUUGACCCACCAACGAGUCACUUGGAAAUGCUUGGAUUGUAGCCACGUUGACCUGACCCAAUGGGCCCACCAGGUAAAUAUGCAAAAAAAACUAGAGCGUUGUCUCGCCUCAUUAUCACGCGCUCGUCUUCUCCCACGCACAGAAUGCUCAGAGGCGACGGUACAGAGGCCAUCAGUGGAAUGAUGGUUUGAGCUCCAGCGAGGAGAGUAGACCGGUCAUCUCAGCCUCCCCCAACAGCAGCAGAACGACAUGCCGCACAACGUCCAAUUGCUACCCACCUAUGGCUACUGCUAGGGUUGUGUCACUCUCGACGACCUCUGCGCCUGCUUUGCAGUUUCUACGCACUCCUCUGUGUCGCCCGACAGCUCACCACCUAUGACCAUGCUCGUGCCCAAACAACAGCCUGCACGGCCAACUCUACGGCAAGGGUGUCGGGGCAACGACGAUAUCAUCAAACAGAGAGAGAGAGAGAGAGAGAGAGAGAGAGAGAGAGGUGGGAUGGCGUACUCCAUCCCAAUUGGCUCGGGAUCUCCCCGGCGGCCUCGCCGAGGGAGAGGAAUGUCGUCCUUCAUGCCGACUAGCUCGGGGUCUCCCCGAUGGUCAUGCCAAACCUCUCAGGGAGGCUACCGUGCAGGUGGUGGGCAUGCAGGUUGCAGGACACACUGCAACGUGGAAGCGUAUGUACCACUUUGGGGGAUAUAAACACAUACAAAGGGCUCAUUUGAAAAAAUGCACCAUGGAUGGUGGCCAUGCAAGAUUAGGACCUCAGAUGAACAAACAUACAUAGUUUUGAGACCCAAAACUGCAAUUUUGAGGUUAUGAGACUAAAAAUGACACACCUCCAAUAGUUUUAGGACCCAAAAGUGCAGUUUCGAAGUUAUAGGACUAAACUGACAUACUUCCGAUAGUUUUAGGACCCAAAAGUGCAGUUUGAAAUUUAUAGGACUAAACUGACACACCUAUGAUAGUUUAAGGACUUGUGAUGCAUUUUACUCUUUUAGGAUCACUACUUGAUCAUAGUUGUUCGAUCGUGCUUUUGCCUUCUCUUCUCGCUCUCUUUUGCGUAUGUUAGCCACUAUAUAUGCUAGUCGCUUGCUGCAGGUCCACCUCAUACCUUUUACCCUUCCUAUAAGCUUAAAUAGUCUUGAUCGCGAGGGUGUGAGAUUGCUGAGUCCCUGUGACUCACAGAUACUUCCAAAACCAGCUUGCAGGUGCCGUUGAACCAUGCAGAUGACGCAACCAAGCUCAAGGAGGAGCUCGAUGAAGAUCUUGUCCUUUUGUGUUGUUUCGUUCUAGUUGAUCAGUAGUGGAGCCCAGUUGGGGUCGAUCGGGGAUCUGUGUAGCAUUUGGGGUAGUCUUCUUUUUAUUUUGGUUCCGUAGUCAGACCUUGUGUGUAUCUGGAUGAUGUAAUGCUUUAUUCUUGUAUUUGUGUGAAGUGGCGAUUGUAAGCCAACUAUGUAUCUUUUCCCUUAUGUAUUACAUGGGUUGUGUGAAGAUUACCUCACUUGCGACAUUGCUUUCAAUGCGGUUAUGCCUCUAAGUCGUGCUUCGACAUGUGGGACCUAUAGCCGCAUCGAGGGAGUGACAUAUACCUACCUAUAUACGGUAUCUACCUGCCGUUCCAAGUAAAUUUGUAUGUGCCAAACUCUAAACCUUCAAAUAAAUAUCCUGUUUUGUAUACUCGAAUAGCUCAUGUAUCAACUAGGGUUGUCUAUAUCUUCCAUGUUAGGCGGGUUAUUCUCAAGAGGAGUGGACUCCGCUCCUCACUCACGAGAUAAAUGGCUGGUCACCGGGAUGCCCAGUCCCAUGCUUUAUGCAAACUAAAUCAAAAUAAUUGCAAACAAAACUCCCCCUGGGACUCUUGUUAGUUGGAGGCACUCGUUGUUUCGAGCAAGCCAUGGAUUGAUGCUUGUUGGUGGAAGGGGGAGUAUAAACUUUACCAUUCUGUUUGGGAACUGCCUAUAAUGUGUGUAGCAUGGAAGAUAUCGCCAUCUCUUGGUUGUUAUGUUGACAAUGAAAGUAUACCGCUCAAAAUAUUGUUCACCUCUAUUUCAAAACCGAGCUCUGGCACCUCUACAAAUCCCUGCAUCCCUCUGCGAAGGGCCUAUCUAUUUACUUUUAUGUUGAGUCAUCAUCCUCUUAUUAAAAAGCACGAGUUAGAGAACACCACUGUCAUUUGUAUUCGUUACUGUUAGUUUACAUUGAGUAUGACUUGACUGGAUCUCUUUUACAAUGAAUUACAAUGUCUAGUCAGUCCUUGGUCUUUAAAGGUGCUCUGCAUUUAUGUUCGCGGUCUCAGAAAGGGCUAGCGAGAUACCAUCUUGUUAUAUCAUAUUAUGAUUGUUUUGAGAAAGUGUUGUCAUCCGAGAUUUAUUAUUAUGGCUCGCUAGUUGAUUAUGCUAUUGAUAUGAGUAAACUUGAGACCUAUGCGUUAUUGCGAAUGUGGUUAGUUAUAAUCUUUGCUGAAAACUUGAAUGCUGACUUUACAUAUUUACAACAACAAGAGCAAAUAGAGUUUGUAAAAGUUUUUCUUUAUCACUUCAGUUUGUCAACUGAAUUGCUUGAGGACAAGCAAAGGUUUAAGCUUGGGGGAGUUGAUACGUCUCCAACGUAUCUACUUUUCCAAACACUUCUGCCCUUGUUUUGGACUGUAACUUGCAUGAUUUGAAUGGAACUAACCCGGACUGAUGCUGUUUUCAGCAGAAUUACCAUGGUGUUAUUUAUGUGCAGGAGCAAACGUUCUCGGAAUGACUUGAAACUUCACGGAGCCACUUUUCAGAAAAUAAGAAAAAUACCAGCAAAAGAUGAAGGCCAGGGGCCCACCACCUUGCCACGAGGGUGGGGGGCGCCUGCCCUCCUAGGGCGCGCCCCCUACCUCGUGGGCCCCCUGCUGCGUCUCCGACUCCAACUCCAUAUAUUGAGUUUCGGGGAGAAAAAAUCAGAGAGAAGAAAUCAUCACGUUUUACGAUACGGAGCCACCGCCAAGCCCUAAAACCUCCCGGGAGGGCUGAUCUGGAGUCCGUCAGGGGCUCUGGAGAGGGGAAUCCGUCGCCAUCGUCAUCAUCAAUCAUCCUCCAUCACCAAUUUCAUGAUGCUCACCGCCGCGCGUGAGUAAUUCCAUCGCAGGCUUGCUGGACGGUGAUGGGUUGGAUGGGAUCUAUCAUGUAAUCGAGUUAGUUUUGUUAGGGUUUGAUCCCUAGUAUCCACUAUGUUCUGAGAUUGAUGUUGCUAUGACUUUGCUAUGCUUAAUGCUUGUCAGUAGGGCCCGAGUGCCAUGAUUUCAGAUCUGAACCUAUUAUGUUUUCAUCAAUAUAUGAGUGUUCUUGAUCCUAUCUUGCAAGUCUAUAGUCACCUAUUAUGUGUUAUGAUCCGUUAACCCCGAAGUGACAAUAAUCGGGAUACUUACCGGUGAUGACCGUAGUUUGAGGAGUUCAUGUAUUCACUAUGUGUUAAUGCUUUUUUCGGUACUCUAUUAAAAGGAGGCCUUAAUAUCCCUUAGUUUCCGUAAGGACCCUGCUGCCACGGGAGGGUAGGACAAAAGAUGUCAUGCAACUUCUUUUCCGUAAGCACGUAUGACUAUAUUCGGAAUACAUGCCUACAUUAUAUCAAUGAACUAGAGUUAGUUCUGUGACACCCUAGGUUAUGACUGUUACAUGAUGAACCGCAUCCGGCAUAAUUCUCCAUCACUGAUCCAUUGCCUACGAGCUUUCCAUAUAUUGUUCUUCGCUUAUUUACUUUCCCGUUGCUAUUGCUAUCAUCACUACAAAAUACCAAAAACAUUACUUUUACUACUGUUGCCUUUUGCUACCGUUACCACUACUAUCAUAUUACUUUGCUACUGAACACUUUGCUGCAGAUAUUAAGUUUCCACGUGUGGUUGAAUUGACAACUCAGCUGCUAAUACUUGAGAAUAUUCUUUGGCUCCCCUUGUGUCGAAUCAACAAAUUUGGGUUGAGUACUCUACCCUUGAAAACUGUUGCGAUCCCCUAUACUUGUGGGUUAUCACUAAACCAAUCUCCUGAGGUUACUGACGAUGCCGGAAGCACGGUCAGCCUAACCACGAUGGUCUAUUCCUGCAAGCAAUCGAAGGACGAGCAAGAAUAUGAUAAAGUAAUCUGAAUAUUGCGAAUAUAUAUGAAGUAUUGAUAAUGGUGGGCAUCCGUAAGCGGUCUUGGUCUGGUCGUUGGACACAAACGAAGUGCACGAAGUUGCAAUGGCUAACUUUUAACUAAACAAAUCCCAAGGAAAAAAAGCUACUAGAUGGAUCUACUUAUAUAGGAGCAAGGGGUGGCGGCCAAGGAGGUGGGAGGACGUCCCAAGGCAGCCUAAAACUAACCCUAGGUCGUACAAGGCUCAUGGGCCCAAGUGGAGGUGAUGCAACACCUUUGAGCUUGUAGUUUGACUCGGAUUCUGUUGCAACGUCAGAUAGUUUCGUCCAUAACUCAACGCUCCAGACGAAUUUGAAGGUGAAUCCAAUUGUGUUGAAAAGAGCACGAAAUCUACUUUCAAAUAAAAAAAGAAUCACCCAAUUCGGAGUCCGUAUGAAAAAGUUGUUGGCGUUUUGAGUCAGGUAUGUCUGUGAAGUCCGAAUCUGAAUCCAGAACGUGAGAGACUUGGACUCUAUCUUCUCUUAGCCCAAAAGUGACAUGAGAGAACUUUUUUAAUAGCACAUAAACUUAGCUUUUUCCCUUAUCUUCAUAUGUGGAUUGUACAAAUGUCCCAUACACCUGCAAUUAGACAUGGCACAAAAGUUUGUGAAGUAUUUUUGUCCUGGAUGACAUAAAUAAAUUAUUGCAUAGUUUGCAUUAGAAAUCAGCUCACAAAAUACAUGUAUGCAAUAUUUUUGGUCGUAUCGAAGGUAUUCAUGUCCUCAUCAUCCUCCCCUUCUUGAAAACAAAGCCGUCCUCGGCGUUGCUUAAUCUGAAAUGUGGCUAACAAAAGAGACAAGGUGUACAUGUUGUAUAUGUAUAUGUCAUCCAUUUUUACUUCCCUUGGUUUUUGCACAAAUGACACAUGUAUACAUGAGUAAUUUUCAUAGUUCAUAAAAUUUGGAGCCGAAAUAUUAUCACAAGAAGUAGAAGGCAUGAAAAUAUUGCAACUCAGUUUGCACAUAUAAGUGAAGCUCUUAUUCAUAUCAAAGGACUGACAAUGUUCAUCAUUAAACCAUCCCAACAUUGGUGAAUAAACCUUAUUUGCAUCAAAUUUACAUUCUACAACAUGCUUAAAUAAGCAAACAUGCAAUAAGUCAUUUGACAUAUAAUCAUCACCAAGAUUAGAGGUCAUAUCAAAAUGAUUAAACAUUGGUUCUUUUGCAUCAACAGUUAAUUCAAUGGGUGCACUCAAAAUUGUUGGUAUUUCAGUUGUUUGACCACAUGAUGCAUUCAUGACAGUAACAAGAUUCUCUAAAAUAGGUGGUGUGCUCAAAUCAAGAGGUAACUCAACACAUGAUGCAUUCAAGUUAACUAGGCAUUCAUCAUUCUCAUGUGAAGUUAUAUCAACAGUACCUUUACCGUUACCUUGUCGCAAAGACGCAGCUGAUGUAGGUACGGACGUUGACAAUGUACCAUACUCUUGAGAUGAUGUCGCACUCAUAAUCCAAGGUGGGGCUGCUCUAGUAGGUGCAACGGUGGAGGAACCAACCGGCGGUGGUGAGCAUGAACUGGAAUAGUAGUUGUUGUAGUCUCCCAAUGCAUCCUCCCGUAUCUGUCCCUCAAAGGUACAAGCAUGAACAUACAUACCAGUAAUGCAACAAGGAAUAUACUGAAAUAUUUCCUGAAUAUCAUGGUUUAAACCAUCAAAAAAAAUCUAUUCAUUGUAUCAUCCUCAGAUUCUUCUAUGUCACAAUGAUGCAUAUAAGAUUUGAACUCUUGGUAGUAAGCAUGAACAGUGUUGUUGCCUUGUUUAAACUGUUGAAAUUAGCGGAGCAAUUCACGACGAUAGUAAGGAGGGAAAAAUUGUUGUCUCAUUACAUAUUUCAAAUCUUUCCAUGUUGUGGGUUGGUUAUCAAUGUUUUUCUUACAAUGCACACUCCACCAAACAUAAGAAAAACCAGUAAAUGCUCUAGUGGCAGAUCAUACUCGCUCAAGUUUAGAAAAGUCAUGGUGAUUAAAAACUUGUUCUACUUCAAGCUCCCAAGCUAGAUAAAUAGCAGGAUUAAAUCUACCCUCAAAUGACGGUAAAAAGUUAACCUGACCAUGUGCUUGUGUGUGUUGUCCCAACUCUCGUGAUGGUGAAGAUGUGUCCGUCGUCCAAGAACUUCUAUCUCCGGAACCUGUCAUGAUUAGUAGAAACAAGAAACAAAAUUCGAGAAUAAUGUUCCUAUGAACUACUAGGAUGUGGUUGUAAAGUUCUCACAGUAAAGCAAAUAUCAAUAUCUUACAAGUUCUUACCAUGCGGCAGGUGGUGACAAGCAACGAGCGGUUUCAAAUAACUCCAAAGAUUGUGUAAAGCAAUUGCCAGGGGAACGUACGUAUACACGGUGUAGAAAUAUGUGGAGCUGGGUUGGCUAUAUAUGGUAGCAAAAUAUUAGCAAUAAUCAAUUCAGAGAUGCAAUGUUGAAUAAACGCUCAACGAUGGCACUGUGCUGGUCCUAGGCUAGACCGGACUAGAGACAUGAGCCUAGAACACUAAUGAGGUCACGGCGUAGCACAACUAGCAGCAGUGAAUGAUACUAAGUAGCUCUGUGAUACGUCUCCGUCGUAUCUAUUUUUCCAAACACUUUUGCCCUUGUUUUGGACUCUAACUUGCAUGAUUUGAAUGGAACAAACCCGGACUGACGCAGUUUUCAGCAGAAUUACCAUGGUGUUAUUUAUGUGCAGAAACAACUGUUUUCGGAAUGACCUGAAACUUCACGGAGCAACUUUUUGGACAAUAUAAAAAAUACCUGCAAAAGAUGAAGGCCAGGGGGCCCACCACCUGUCCACGAGGGUGGGGGGUGCGCGUAUCCCCCUAGGGCGCGCCCCCUACCUCGUGGGCCCCCUGGAGCUCCUCCGACUCCGACUCCAACUCUAUAUAUUUGGUUUCGGGGAGAAAAAAAUCAGAGAGAAGAAUUCAUCGCGUUUUACGAUACAGAGCCGCCGACAGGCCCUAAAACCUCUCGGGAGGGCUGAUCUGGAGUCCGUUCGGGGCUCCGGAGAGGGGAAUCCAUCGCCAUCGUCAUCAUCAACCAUCCUCCAUCACCAAUUUCAUGAUGUUCACUGCCAUGCGUGAGUAAUUCCAUCAUAGGCUUGCUGGACGGUGAUGGGUUGGAUGAGAUCUAUCAUGUAAUCGAGUUAGUUUUGUUAGGGUUUGAUCCCUAGUAUCCACUUUGUUCUGAGAUUGAUGUUGCUAUGACUUUGCUAUGCUUAAUGCUUAUCACUAGGGCCGAGUGCUAUGAUUUCAGAUCUGAACCUAUUAUGUUUUCAUCAAUAUAUGACAGUUCUUGAUCCUAUCUUGCAAGUCUAUAGUCACCUAUUAUGUGUUAUGAUCCGUUAACCCCGAAGUGACAAUAAUCGCGAUACUUACCGGUGAUGACCGUAGUUUGAGGAGUUCAUGUAUUCACUAUGUGUUAAUGCUUUGUUCCGGUACUCUAUUAAAAGGAGGCCUUAAUAUCCCUUAGUUUCCGUAAGGACCCCGCUGCCACGGGAGGGUAGGACAAAAGAUGUCAUGCAAGUUCUUUUUCAUAAGCACGUAUGACUAUAUUCGGAAUACAUGCCUACAUUAUAUCAAUGAACUGGAGCUAGUUCUGUGUCACCCUAGGUUAUGACUGUUACAUGAUGAACCGCAUCCGGCAUAAUUCUCCAUCACUGAUCCAUUGCCUACGAGUUUCCAUAUAUUGUUCUUCGCUUAUUUACUUUUUUGUUGCUAUUGCUAUCAUCACUACAAAAUACCAAAAACAUUACUUUUACUACGGUUACCUUUUGCCACCGUUACCAGUACUAUCAUAUUACUUUUCUACUAAAUACUUUGCUGCAGAUAUUAAGUUUCCAGGUGUGGUUGAAUUGACAACUCAGCUGCUAAUACUUGAGAAUAUUCUUUGGCUCCCCUUGUGUCGAAUCAAUAAAUUUGGGUUGAAUACUCUACCCUCGAAAACUGUUGUGAUCCCCUAUACUUCUGGGUUAUCACUCUAUACAACAAGAUAUAAGUGAAGAUCACAACAACAGUAAAGAUAAUGAUAAAAAACAACUGGCAAGCAGGAUAUACAACAACUUUCUCUCAAACUUUUUUCUGGAAAAGUUUGUGCCAAUUUUUUGAUAAUUUUUCUCAAGAUUUGCACUAGCUCAAGCUUUCAAAUGCAAAAAGAAUCACUCAAUUCCGAGUUGAUAUGAGGAGUCAAAAAAUUCAAAAACUGGCAUGAAAAACUGGAGUAAGCUGUGUUCAUGCACUUCGGAGAGCAAAAAUACCUAUUUAGAAGACGAUUUUGAGGUGCCAAAUAUUGAAUAAGCUUCUGCAACUAUUUAGAUGCGGCUUGUCGCUAGCUUUCAUUUAAGUGCUUGCAAAGCCAAAACGGACUUCGUAUGAGGAAGUUAUGCCUGUUUUUCUGAACAGUGCACAAAACAGAUUCCAAUCCGAAUUCAACUACGAGAUUGAGUCUAAAUAGAUCCGAAUUUUGUUUUUUUCUUCUUUUUCUUUUACUCACACUUUUUUUACUUUUUUUCUCUUUUUUUCUCUCUCCCUCUUUCCAAAACAAACUAGAUAAGACGCAGAUUGGAUCAAGCAAAGAUGUGAACGAUCUCAACUAUGAUUGUGACAAUGAGCGAUGGGUAGCACGUGGUGGAAAUUGAUGGAUGGGUGGUGGACAGUUGAAGGGAUAACAAUGCAGCGGUGGCGUGACUAAUGUGAACAGAACUCAAAACUCUAAACAAACUAGACACUAAGACGAGCAACUCGACACAAUGAUGCAACCGAUAAUUCAACUAUGCAAGCAAUGAAAAGAAAAUUGCAAAGGCUCAGACUGGCUUGGACAAAGGAUGAAUUGAUCUAACUUUUUUUGUGGCUUUUUCUUGGACAAUAGGUAAGAAAAUAAAUCUAAUCUAGGAAAAACUGAAAUUCUCACCGAGCAACCUGAAAACAGAUACCGCUUGAUAGAGGCGAGGGUGUCCCGAUCUUUCGAUGAGAUGAUAACUAUCAGUUUGGUGGAGACGAAUUUGACGAUCCGACUACAAACGUGCAAGACGUCGCGCCUUAGCAAUCGCUAAACCAAUCUCCUGAGGUUACUGACAAUGCCGGAAGCACGGUCAGCCUGACCAUGAAGGUCUAUUCCUGCAAGCAAUCGAAGAAUGAGCAAGAAUAUGAUCAAGCAAUCUGAAUAUUGGGAAUAUAUAUGAAGUAUUGAUAAUGGUGGGGAUCCGUAAGCGGUCUUGGUCUGGUCGUUGGACACAAACGAACUACAUGAAGUUGCAAUGGCUAACUUUUAACUAAACAAAUCCCAAGGAAAAAGCUACUAGAUAGAUCUACUUAUAUAGGAGCAAGGGGUGGAGGCCAAGGAGGUGGGAGGACGUCCCAAGGCAGCCUAAAACUAAUCCUAGGUCGUACAAGGCUCACGUGCCCAAGUGGAGGUGGUGCAACACCUUUGGGCUUGUAAUUUGACUCGGAUUCUGCUGCAAUGUCAGAUUGUUUCGUCCAUAACUCAACGCUCCGGACGAAUUUAAAGGCGAAUCCAAUUGUGUUGGAAAGAGCACAAAAUCUACGUUCAAACAAAAAAAUAAUCACCCAAUUCGGAGUCCGUAUGAAAAAGUUGUUGGCGUUUUGAGUCAGGUAUGUCUGUGAAGUCCGGAUCUGAAUCCAGAAUGUGAGAGACUUGGACUCUAUCUUCUCUUGGCCCAAAAGUGACGUGAGAGAACUUUUUUAACAGCACAUAAACUUCUCUUUUUCCCUUAUCUUCAUAUGUGGAGUGUACAAAUGACCCAUACACCUGCAAUUAGACAUGACACAAAAGUUUGUGAAGUAUUUUUGUCCUGAAUGACAUAAAUAAAUUAUUGCAUAGUUUGCAUUAGAAAUCACCUCACAAAUAUACAUGUAUGCAAAAUUUUUGGUCGUAUCCAAGGUAGUUGAUACGUCUCCAACGUAUCUAUAAUUUUUGAUUGCUCCAUGCUAUAUUAUCUACUGUUUUGGACAUUAUUGGGCUUCAUUAUCCACUUUUAUAUUAUUUUUGGGACUAACCUAUUAACCGGAGGCCCAACCCAGAAUUGCUGUUUUUUGCCUAUUUCAGAGUUUCACAGAAAAGGAAUAUCAAACAGAGUCCAAACGGAAUGAAACCUUGGGAACGUGAUUUUCGGAACGAACAUGAUCCAGGAGACUUGGACCCUACAUCUAGAAAUAAAGGAGGAAUCCAAGAGGUAGGGGGCGCGCCUACCCCCUCCCCCCCCCCAAGUGCGCCCUCCACCCUCGUGGGCCCCCUGUUCCUCCACCGACGUACUCCUUCCUCCUAUAUAUACCUACGUACCCCCAAACGAUCAGAUACAGAGCCAAAAACCUAAUUCCACCGCUGCAACCUUCUGUAUCCACGAGAUCCCAUCUUGGGGCCUGUUCCGGAGCUCCGAUGGAGGGGCAUCCAUCACGGAGGGCUUCUACAUCAACACCAUAGCCUCUCCGAUGAAGUGUGAGUAGUUUACCUCAGACCUUCGGGUCCAUAGUUAUUAGCUAGAUGGCUUCUUCUCUCUUUUUGGAUCUCAAUACAAUGUUCUCCCCCUCUCUUGUGGAGAUCUAUUCGAUGUAAUCUUCUUUUUGCGGUGUGUUUGUUGAGACCGAUGAAUUGUGGGUUUAUGAUCAAGAUUAUCUAUGAUCAAUAUUUGAAUAUUCUCUGAAUUCUUUUAUGUAUGAUUGGUUAUCUUUGCAAGUCUCUUUGAAUUAUCAGUUUGGUUUAGCCUACUAGAUUUAUCUUUCUUGCAAUGGGAGAAGUGCUUAGCUUUGGGUUCAAUCUUGCGGUGUCCUUUCCCAGUGACAGUAGGGGCAGCAAGGCACGUAUUGUAUUGUUUCCAUCGAGGAUAACAAGAUGUUUUUUUUAUCAUAUUGCAUGAAUUUGUCCCUCUACAUCAUGUCAUCUUGCUUAAGGCGUUACUCUGUUUUCAUUAACUUAAUACUCUAGAUGCAUGCUGGAUAGCGGUCGAUGAGUGGAGUAAUAGUAGUAGAUGCAGGUAGGAGUCGGUCUACUUGUCUCGGACGUGAUUCCUAUAUACAUGAUCAUACCUAGAUAUUCUCAUAACUAUGCUCAAUUCUGUCAAUUGCUCAACAGUAAUUCGUUCACCCACCGUAAAAUACUUAUGCUCUUGAGAGAAGCCACUAGUGAAACCUAUGGCCCCCGGGUCUAUCUUCAUCAUAUUAAUAUUUCAAUACUUAGUUAUUUCCUUUGCUUUUUUACUUUGCUUUUAUUUUACUUUGCAUCUUUAUCAAAAAAAUACCAAAAAUAUUAUCCUAUCAUAUCUAUCAGAUCUCACUCUCGUAAGUGACCGUGAAGGGAUUGACAACCCCUUAUCACGUUGGUUGCGAUGAGUUAUUUGUUUUGUGCGGGUACGAGGGACUCGCGCGUAGCCUCCUACUGGAUUGAUACCUUAGUUCUUAAAAACUGAGGGAAAUACUUACACUACUUUGCUGCAUCAUCCUUUCCUCUUCAAGGAAAUCCAACGCAAUGCUCAAGAGGUAGCAGUAGUCAUGUCCUCAUCCGAGGUGGUUCUCUUAGGUACCAAGGUCUGAACACCUCGAUCACUAUAGUUGCAAACAUGACCAUGGAAAACCUGACCAUGACAUCUCGUGCUCUCAGACAUCCGUAGGUACUCGUCACAUGAAUCAGCGGCCGUUCCAUAUGCAAGCAUCCGGAGUGUGGCCGUGCACUUCUAGUAACUGGCGAACCCAAUCGUUCCCACGGCGUCCUUCUUCAGGAUGAAGUAGUCAUCACAGGACCAGACGCCAUGGUACAAACGGUCGAAGACAGUCUUGCACAUCCUAAAAGGCCAGCGAAAAUGGUCAGCGAAGAGCCGAAGAGUGCGUCGGGGGCAAAGUAGUCGGCCAUCGGUGUCAAAAUGGCCACGCUCUCUGUUGCGGUUGAGCACUCGAUGACCCUUUAUCGAGCCCUUGAAACUAAGAACAUACUCUUCUGCAUGCUCCGCGUCUUUAAGGACCGCCUGCAUCAUCACCGUCUCAUCCAAGUACUCCUCCUCGUCCGAUGAGCCGUCAGACGACUCAACAUACUGUUCGUAUAUGUACUCCAAAUCGAAAUCCAUUGCUAGAAAGAAGGGAAAACUAUUUUUAGCUCCAAUGAUUCAUCGAACAGUUGCCGAGCAUGGUGAGUAUAACAGUAGCGGAUGGUACCUGGCGGGGCGGUCAGAGAAUAGAGGUUGAACAACGACGGAGGAGAAGCGGGGUGGAACCCUGCUGAAACGCUGGAGGUGAAGAAGACGUAGAGUUUCGGUAGAGGUGUGGCGUGGUGGCCGGGGUAGUGAAGCGGCGGCGAAGGCAAGAGAGAAAGAAGGAAGAAGAGAAAACAAGAAGGAUGAAGCCGCGUGGUCCGAGAAGGGUUUUGGGUGGGCCGGGGGUGUUGGAGUCCUAUGUGUUUGGUGUCCGGACUCCCGCAAAGCUUCCCAUGUUUGUCGACGGUUUAGGAGAAAACACGUCCGGACCGCGACGCGGACCAAUACAUACCGGCGUUAGAUGACUUCACUGGUCUAUACAAUGCGGUUUGGACGGAUGUGGGUGGUUUGCGGGUCCGCUUUGAAGAUGCUCUAACUAUCCAAUCACAGAUUCGUUCGCAUUACAAAAUUUAAGAAGGUGUUCUUCGUACUACUUUGACCGUUGAUGAAUAGAGUGGAUUUUUUAAAAAAAGAAUAACAAUUAAAAAGAAAGAUGAUGAUCAGCAUCAGACUCAGAGCAUCUCCAACAGCUGCGCCAAACUAGCGCCGUGCCGCAAAAUUGCCCGUUUUAGCGCGCGCGCAACUGGUAUAGUUGCUCCAGCGGGCGCGCAAAAACAGUGCAUGCGGCAUAUGUAGUUCAGCGCGCGGGCCGAAACUCAAUCACGCAUCGCUUAUUUGCCGCGCCCGCUCCCGCGCGCCAGACUCUCGCGCGCUCGCUCGCAACUCCCACCCCCAUCCAGCCGCGCCGCCGCCGCCGACCGCGCCACCCGACGACCGUUCCGGCGCUUCCCCGGCCUAUCCCCGCCCCGCCGCGGCUUCUCCAGCCCCCCUCUAGUCCCGGCGCCCCUCGCGUGCGUCCGUCCUCCGACGAACAGUGCCCGCGCGCUUGCUGCCGCUCGGCGCCCGCAAGGUGUUCGACAAAACGCCAAGAAGGUAUGUAUUGCUCAAAAGUCAUGAAUUUCGUGCAUGUUGAUUGUAGUUUUUAUAUCAUAGUAUUGAACAUUGUAGAUGAGUUCAUCGUAUGAUUCUUCUUAAGAAGAAUUUGAUAUGGAAGAGGAGGAGGAUCUUGCAAUGAUCCUAGCUAUGCAUAUCAAUAAAAAACCGAAGCAUGGUUGUUCGGUUAUGGUCGGCAGAAAAUUUGGAGGGAUAUGAUCGAUGCCCACAACAAAUUGAUCAGACAUUAUUUUGCGGAGAAUCCCACAUACCCCGAGUCGUAUUUUCAUCGCCGGUUUAGGAUGAGCACCGAGUUGUUCAGGCGCAUUGCAGAGAAACUAGCGAGCCAUGACCGCUUUUUUCAGCAAAGGAGGAAUGUCGCCAGAGAGCUUGGGCAUAGCACCUUUCAGAAGGUGACAGCCGCUUUGCGUAUGUUGGCAUACGGUAUACCGGCUGACCUAGUUGAUGAUCACUUGGCUAUGGGUGAGAGCCAAGCCAUCAUGUGUGUCAAGCGCUUCGCAGUCGGAAUUGUGCAAGUGUUUGGCGAGGAGUAUUUGAGAUCUCCCAAUGCUGAAGACGCCUCAAGGCUAUUGGCGAUGAACAAAGCUCGCAGCUUUCCUGGCAUGCUUGGCUCAAUAGAUUGCAUGCAUUGGAGUUGGAAGAAUUGUCCAAAGGCAUGGCAUGGGCAAUUCCACGGCCAAAAAAAGGGUUCCACUAUAAUCCUUGAAGCGGUGGCCGAUCAAGAGACUUGGAUUUGGCAUGCAUUCUUUGGAAUGCCUGGAUCUUUGAACGACAUCAAUGUUGUCAACCGGUCACCACUGAUGAAUAAGAUUGCAAAUCGUGAGUUGCCACCGGUGCAGUUUGUAGCAAAUGGCCGUACAUACAACUAUGGCUAUUAUCUAGCGGAUGGCAUCUAUCCAAAGUGGCAAACCUUUGUCAAGCCGUUGAAAAAGCCAGAAGGUAAGAAAAAUCUUGAUUUCCACAAUGCUCAGGCGGCGGCUAGAAAAGAUAUGGAGGGAGCUUUUGGGAUUUUGCAAGCCCAAUUUGCUAUUGUGAGAGGACCGGCUAGAUUUUGGGAUCAGAAAAUGCUUUGGUACAUCAUGCACGCUUGUGUGAUCAUGCAUAACAUGAUCAUCGAGAAUGAGCGUGGCCAAGAUGUAGACUACUCUCAGUAUGAGCUCUUGGGACAUCCCGUGCAAGUGCGACGGAGGACUGAAAGGGUGGCCCAUUUUGUUGCCUCCUAUCAUGCCAUUCGACGUCCCGCAGCGCAUAAUGAUUUUCAGAAGGAUCUAAUUGAGGAGUGGUGGGCAUGGAAUGAACGACAAAGAGUAUCAUGAUUUAUGUGUUCGAUAUUGUAUUGAUAAACUAUUUGUUAUGUUUAUUGCACUAUUUGUUGUAUUAAACAAUAAACUGUUUGUUUGAGUUGUAAUAAUGAAAUUGAACUAUUUAUUUUGAUUUAUUUUUGUUUGUGUUUGAUCUUUUUGCUUCUGUUUUGGAAUGCAUAUGUUGUUUGUGCGACAGUCGCGCACGCUGCUUUUUAACGCGGCUGCUGGAGCCAGCACUACGCGCCGCGCCAAACCAGGCGACCGGCGCGCGGCAAAGCAGUUUUUUGCGCGCGGCGCGUUCGGCGCCUGUUGGAGAUGCUCUCACGAGUCAUGCAUGCGAACUCUUCUAUUUAGCAUGCAGAUCUCUUCUUCUGUGCUUUGUUCUGAAUUCUCGCACCUGCCCGUCGCCAUGCCGUCGUCCAUAUACGCCGCACCACAGGCAAGCGCAAGCAACGGCGUUGGCAAUGGCGACGGCAAGCCACACGUGCUUGUUGUCCCUUACCCGGCGCAUGGUCACAUGCUGCCUCUCCUCGACCUCGCGGCGCUGCUCACCGCACGGGGCCUCGCGCUCACCGUCGCCGUCACGGCAGGCAACGUCCCGCUCCUCGCGACAUUCCUCGCAGCGUUCCCGUCAGUCGCCACCGUCGUUCUGCCUUUCCCUUCCUCGCCGUUCCUCCCGGCCGGGUGCGGCGAGAACACCAAGGACCUCCCGGCCGAUCUCUUCCGCCCGUUCAUGGCCUCCCUGGCGGCCCUCUCCGCGCCUCUCCUCUCCUGGUGCAAGUCCCAGCCCCGCGGCGUGACGGCCAUCGUCUCCGACCUGUUCAUGGGGUGGACACUCCCGCUCAUCGAGGAGCUCGGCGUGCCGCACGUGGCCUUCUCGUGUGCCAACGUUCACUACCUCGCCACGACGCACUCCCUCUGGUGACGCAUGCCGACGAGGCUCCGCCUCGACGACGCCGACGAGACUGUCACCUUCUCGGAGGCGCCCGGCUCGUCUAGCUUCCCUUGGCGCAGCCUGCCGUGGAUGUUCAGGGUGCAUGUGCCCGGCGACGAGGUGUCAGAGACGAUCCGGCGGAUCUUCCUAUGGAAUAUAGAGAGCUCGUGCUUCAUGGCAAACUCGUUCGUGACGCUCGAGGCGGCCUACGUGGAGCGCCCGCUCCCCGACCUGAUGGCGAAGUGGGUGUUCGCGGUGGGCGCGCUGUCGGACGACGUGCGCAACUGCGACGAACAUGGCGGGAAGCCAGCGAUGGCCCCGGCGAAGGUGACCGCGUGGCUGGACGGGUUCGACGACGGCUCCGUCGUGUACGUCUGCUUCGGGUCGCAGCAGGCGCUGUCACCGGCGCAGGCGGCGUGAGUGGCCGGCGCUCUAGCGCUGGCUCGGUGGCUUUCGUCUGGGCGGUGAGGAGCGGCACCGUCGUGCCGGAGGGGUUCGAGGCCGCAGCCACGGCGGCGUCACGGGGCAUGGCAAUCCGCGGGUGGGCGCCGCAAGUGGAGAUCCUGUGCCACCGCGCCGUGGGGUGGUUCCUCACGCACUGCGGGUGGAACUCGGUGCUCGAGGCGACCGCGGCCGGCGUGGCAAUGCUCACGUGGCCGAUGGGCGCCGACCAGUUCAUCAACGCGUCGGUGCUUGCGGAGGCAGGCGUGGCGGUGCCGGUGGCAGAGGGCGCCGACGCCGUGCCAGACGCUGGAAAGAUGGCGAGCGUCAUCGCUGCAGCUGUCGCAAAGGAGGGGGAGUCCGUGAGAAAGCGUGCGGUGGAGCUCGGCCGGAAGGCGGCCACCGUGGUGGCGGAGGGCGGAACCUCGCACAUUGAUUUGGAAGAGUUGGUGCGUGUGCUCAGUGACGUCGACUACUACCUCCGUUCCUAAAUAUUUGUCUUUCUAGAGGUUUCAAAUGGUGACUACAUGCGGAGCAAAAUGAGUGAAUCUACAGUUCUACACUCUAAAAUAUAUCCAUAUACAUCCAUAUGUGAUGACCAUUUGAAAUCUCUAGAAAGACAAAUAUUUAGAAACGGAGGGAGUAGUAUUUAUAUUCCUUGUAUUUUUUUGAACUUAUAUUCCUUGUAUUUUCAUUUCAUUGUAGAUGAUGAAUGUGUUUUUCUGGGACCGUCUAUCCAUAAGAUACCUGAAAAUAAAUUUGCAUCUUGGUCCUGCCAGCCAUCUGGAUCGGGGAUGAACGGCCACAUCUCCUUCCUCCUCCAACCGCAUGUUCACCUUGUUCCUUCAAUCGUGCAGCCUCCCUCCGAUCCAGCCCUAACCGUCCGCCUCCGCCACCCGUGGCCGGCGGCUAUCGCCACCCUGCCCUCCCCUCGACCUCCCCCCACCGCCGUGUCCGCCACCCUGGCCGUCCCUCUAAGCCUCACCGCACCAGUGAACAACUCCCACGAUCCCCUGUGUUGGGUUUAGUCCCACAUCGAUUGUGGGAGAAGGAAGAACACGAUUUAUAAGGGCAGGGUAUCCCCUCCUAACAGGCUAGUCUUUUGGGGGGAGAGGACCCAAGGCUUCUCAUAAGUCGGUGUUGCUCUCCGGUUGGCCCUGGUUGACGCAUGUGGGUCGGAACGCUUGUGAUAGCGGACUCGGGAUUGCGUAACAAGUGGUAUCAGAGCAAGGUUCGAUUUGAGGUUGCCGAAAUUGAUUUAGAGGUGAUCCAGUUGGCGCAGCAGCGCGAUACUCGGCAAGAUCGGAAACAGCAUUGGUGGCGUGUAGCGGCGGCUGGUAUCGCGCUGGAGACGAGGACCAGCAGCGCUAGGGCAUGCGGCGACUGAGUGCAUCGUUGCAUGAUGGGCUGGUGGCUCCGUGCGGCAUGUGGGCGAGAGGCCCAAGCGUGCCUAGCCUAAGGCCCAGGUGCAGCCAAGGCCUGAGGAGCCGAAUGGCUGAAGAAGGCCUGGUGUGCAAGCGUGGCAUGCGUGCGUUUGCCGGGAUUGAGAUGUGCGUUGCUAUGCUCAAGGAUGGUCAGAUGUGAGAUUUCUUUGGUUUAAAAAAAGAGGAGUUGCUAGGUCCAACGCAUGUGCACAGGAGUAGUUGGGAUGGAUCAUUCCGAUCUGAUUUUCUGCUGGGUGCAUAGAGAAGUUAAUAUAUCAAACAUGGGUAAGAUAAUUUGCAAACAUGGGAUUUGUCUGUUCAAGUUUGCAUGGAAGUUUUGCUAGGUUGGUUUGAUCAGAUGGUUUGGAGCGUGUGGACAAGCAACGGAGCGCGCAGACAAGUGUGUCGUCAGGAUCAUGCAGACACAUGGUGUCAAGCAAUGCACGGAGAUGUGCGUGCGGACAUGACGCAGGGUGGAGCAUGAUUGCAGUCGGAUAAUUCGGCUGGGUCGAACUGGAUAGUCUGAUGGAUCGACGGGGAUGUUGGUCAAAGCAGAAGACGGUGUGAUUUCAGCGACAACGACAUAGGAGCGUGAUGCUGAUGGUGGCCGACUUCUGAGGCGUGGAAACACGUGGUGCAGGCCUUAGGGCUUGUCCGGCUUCGACAGACUAUAGCGCGAGGUUGAUUCAAGACGGUGCACACAAGAGAGCUUGAAGUCGACAGGCGCAGGGCAGCAUAGCGCAGCUACAUGGAGUCAUGUUGAAGGUGGAGCUGGAGUCUGAUGGACGACUUUCACUCUAUGCUGAUGGAGGGGCUACAGCGUAAGAAUUCGGAGAGUCGAAGCCUAUUUCAGCGGGAUAGCGAGAGACGCGUGGAUCGGACUGGGUACCAAUGGUCUGAUGGAGACGUGAUACUUGGCAUCGGUAGGUGAUGAUCGGUGGUUCUCUGCAGUGGGGGUUGAGACAGUGUGGGCUAGCUACCCGGGAGACUCGACCAGGACAGCAGAGGCUCGACGCGGUGAUAGCGGCGAGGCGUGCGGUAAGCACGGGACACAGCGACAGGCCAAUGCACUGGUUGUCGGACAUGUGGUCAAACAAAGUGUGCAGGGGGUGCUAAAGCAGUGUUGACGAGUACCAGAUUCAAGUUGGUGACUGGGUCUAUCGGUGCCGGUUGAUGGACAGAAGUUGACCAGAGAAUCUGAGAAAGUGAUGGAAAGUCUGAAGUUGUCAAAAUAGAGAGAGUACAUGGCCGUAUAUUCUGUGGUGUUGGGUGCACAUGGCAAAGUGCGGAUGACAAGACAGAAGGAGGCGGAGUGCUAUAGUUGUGGGACAUGUCAAAGGGUAUCCGCGAAAAAGGAUGAGACAACUGCGAAUUUGACUCAGGGUGACACAGGGCGACGGUGAAAUUCCUUCAAAUUUCAGAAAGGCGGUCAAGAAAGAGUGGUGAUGUUGAGUUCGGGUAACUCUUAUAUGUGACGUCCAAUAUGCGAGUUGUUCAUUUUCACGCAGCUAGUGGUCGGUGUGUGAUGGCGUUGAGCGGAUACUCCGGAAGUUAGGAGCACAAAGUAGAGUAAUGAGAAACUUAAUUCUCUGCUCGAGUGUAGACUGUGAAGAUGAUAAGAAGGGACUAUAGUUGUAGGUGGAGUCACAUGGAGUAUGUGAGUAGCAGUGGUGCUCAUGGCGUAUCUCAAAUCCAACGUACAUGGAGGUUCGACGCAUGGAUGAAUCUGAGGUGGUGAAGAAUACUCGCCAAGGUGGAAUUUGGUAUCAGAGCUAUCACUAGCAUUUCGACCCACAUGCAUCAAUCAGGCCCAACCAGAGAGCAACACCGACUUCGAAGUGAAGUUUCGCCUCUUAGUUUCUCUGCACAGAAUAACACUGCAUCUACCAUAUUAGCAGAGGUCAAUAUGUUGGAGCGGUGACCUCAAACGAAAGCUACAGUUCUACACAUGUGACGUCGAAGCACCGUGACUCCAUAGGUGUUGCACGCCUUCUGUUCGCCAAAGAAAAUAAAAGGUGCGAGGUCCAAUUGCUAAAUUAAGCUAUUCAUACUAUUUUGCUCAUGUUGACUGUGCUGUUUUGGCUCAACAUGAUGCAGGCAAUAUUAUUACGUGGAGAUAGGGAAGAUGGCCAAGCACACUAGCGGUUAGUGGCUAGUUUGUAACGCCCAUGAUGCGGCUAUAUCUCCCACGUGUCAAAGCAUGACUUAGAGGCAUAACCACAUUGUAAGCAAUGUCGCAAGUGGGGUAAUCUUCACACAACCCAUGUAAUGAAUAAGGAAAAGAGGUACAUAGUUGGCUUACCCUCGCCACGUCACACAAUAGCAUAAAUAUCAUUACAUUCGUCCAGAUACAAUCAAGGUCUGACUACGGAACCAAGAUAAAGAACAACUCCAAAUGCAACAAAGUCCCCGAUCGUCCCAACUGGGCACCACUACUGAUUGUCUGGAAAGGAAACAUAGUAUCGUCCUGAGUCCUCAUCGAACUCCCACUUAAGCUCAGUCGAAUCUCCUGGAGCGGUAUCAUCGGCCCCUGCAUCUGGUUUUGGAAGUAAUCUGUGAGUCACGGGGACCCAACAAUCUCACACCCUCGCGAUCAAGACUAUUUAAGCUUAUAGGUAGAUAAAAGGUAUGAGGUGGAGCUACAGCAAGCACUAGCAUAUAUGGUGGCUAACAUACGCAAAAGAGAGCGAGAAGAGAAGGCAAAGGCACGAUCGAUAAACUAUGAUCAAGAAGUGAUCCUAGAACAACCUACGUUCAAGCAUAACACGAGACCGUGUUCUCUUCCCGGACUCCGCCGAAAAGAGACCAUCACGGCCACACACUCUGUUGAUUCAUUUUAAUUAAGUUAAGUUUAAGGUUUUCUACAACCGGACAUUAACAAAUUCCCAUAUGCCCAUAACCGUGGGCACGGCUUUCGAAAGUUUAAAUCCCUGCAGGGGUGUCCCAACUUAGCCCAUCACAAGCUCUCAUGGUCAACGAAGGAUAUUCCUUCUCCCAAGACAAUCCGAUCAGACUCGGAAUCCCGGUUACAAGACAUCUCGACAAUGGUAAAACAAGUCCAGCAAGACCACCCGCUGUGCCGACAAAUCCCGAUAGGAGCUGCACAUAUCUCGUCCUCAGGGCACACCGGAUAAGCUAAGCGUACGAGAGCCAACGUAACCCAAGUUGCCAAGGGACGGCCCCGCACGGUGCUCUAGGUUGGACCAAUACUCAGAGGAGCACUUGCCCGGGGGUUUCAAAUAAAGAUGACCCUUGAGUCCGUGAAACCCAAGGGAAAAGGCUAGGUGGCGAAUGGUAAAACCAAGGUUGGACCAUGCUGGAGGAGUUUUAUUCAAGGCGAACUGUCAAGGGGUUCCCAUUAUAACCCAACCGUGUAAGGAACGCAAAAUCAAGGAACAUAACACCGGUAUGACGGAAACUAGGGCGGCAAGAGUGGAACAAAACACCAGGCAUAAGGCUGAGCCUUCCACUCUUUACCAAGUGUAUAGAUGCAUUAAAAUAGACAAGAUAAUAUAAUGAUAUCCCAACAAUAAACAUGUUCCAACAAGGAACAAACUCCAAUCUUCACCUGCAAUUAACAACACUAUAAAAGGGGCUGAGCAAAGCGGUAACAUAGCCAAACAACGGUUUGCUAGGACAAGGUGGGUUAGAGGUUUGACAUGGCAAUAUGGGAGGCAUGAUAAGCAAGUGGUAGGUAUCGAAGCAUAGUCAUAGCAAUAGAGCGAGCAUCUAGCAAGCAAAGAUAGAAGUGAUUUCGAGGGUAUGGUCAUCUUGCCUGUAAAGUUCUCCGAGUUGACGUUAGCUUGAUCCUCGUAAGUGUACUCAACAGGUUCCUCGAUCACGUAAUCGUCUCCCGGCUCUACCCAAGCAAGAACACAAGCAAAGGGAGACACAAUCAACCACGUGCAAUGCACAAACAACAUGAUGCAAAACAUGUCAUGAUAUGCGGGAUGCGAUAUGCGAUGCAUAUGCAUGUUUCGGAAAGGAAAGAUUGCACCUGGCCUCAACUUGGAAAACCAAGAGUGCCACUUGAAUGAUGAGUUCAUUUUGGUCGAAAUCGAUAUAAAGAUCACCAGAAUCGGAUGCACGGUUUGCAAAUGACAAGCAAAACAAAUAAUACACCGAUCUGCGAUUAACAGCACGAGGCCAUCUAAAUGCAUCAGGAACAACAAGCUACUACACUCCAACAUAACAACAAAAUACAUGGCAGUGAUCCACUCAAGAUGCUUGACAAAAAAUGAACACUGAGCUACGGCUAAUUCACUCAAUAGCAGGUUCAAACAAGCAUGGCAAAAGUGCAAAAGAUAUCAGGUUACAGACUUAGUGAAAAUAACAACAUGCCAGGAAUUUAACAUCAGGAAGGAACGUUUAGAGCAAGAUAACAACAUGCUACAGGAACAUAGGCAUGAAGCUACUCAAAGCAUACAACAAAAGUCCCUUACUGACCAUAAGCCAAGGACGUCGAUAACUGCCACACGUGUGGCAGGAAAGGAGACGCACCACACGUCUCUAAUGCAAAUAGAUUGCCACGUCAUCGAAUGCAUGCAUGCGAGAAUCUUUUUGGAUUUUCAGUUUUUAAAAUGUUUUAUCUCUUAAAUGAAAAAUCUGAUUGAAGAUCUGUUUUCACCAUUAAAUCCCUCGCGACGAGAUCUUCAAAACUAGAUCUCAUAUUGAUAUAUUUUGGCAAAAAAAAUUUGGGUUAAAAGUUGCCAUGUCUAUUGCACAUGAAUUGCCAUGAUAUUUACACUGAAGUUGCCAUGAUAUGUUUCAACUAUUAUCUUUUACAUUUAAAAGUAAAUUUUAACAUAUUAUAAAAUGGAGAUUAACAAACUAGACUUGCCAUGCACCAUAAACUAAAAUUGCCAUGAUACAUGCACUUAAAAUUGCCAUGGUUCAAUAAAAAAUAUUUUCAUGGUCAAAGUACUGGAAUUGCCAUCAUUGAAAAACUAAAAUUGCCAUAAUCUACAAACUAAAAAUGCCACAUGGCCACUUUAGUUUAAGCACUAUGGCAACUAUAGUGUAAAUAUCAUGGCAACUUCUGGGCAAAAAAAAAUUCAUCAAAACAUAUCAACAUGGGGUCUAGAUUUGAAGAUCUCGUCGAGACGGAUUUAAUGGUGAAAAUGGAUUUUUAGUUCGCUUUUUUAUUUAGGAGAUAAAACAUUUUUAAGCCGAAAACAAAAAAGAUUUCUGCUGAUGUCAUCUAAUCACCCACGCGUGUGGGCGUUAGUUUUUCCGUAAGACAAAAAGGAUCAGAAAAUACAAUGGCAACCAUGUGAACAUAGCCACUUUCGUUAACAGAUUCAGACUUAGUAGAAAACUGGAACAUGGCAAAACAGAUAUUAAGUAGGCAUGUUUACGAGCUCGAUGCACUCACCACAAGGCAUUGCAUGACAAACUAAGCAUACCCCCAACAAGUAGACAUGGCAUAGAAGCUAAACAUGGCAAGAACAACCUCAAAGCAUGCAUGGAUCAACUACAACAACCUUGGAAAAAUUGCUUAACAUGUAAACAAUCUGCCGGGAACAUUUUAUAGCAAAAGUAGAGCUCGAUUGAGUCAUGCUAGGGUGCUCCAUAAUUGCAGACAAAGACAUGGAUGGGUAGAGCACCACAAUAUCUACAAAACAUCCUUACUGAUCAUGCUCAAAAGAGGCAUGGAUCACUCUGUAGCAACAUGAAUACAUGGCAUAAAAAUAUUGACAGGGCAAAGGCUUAGAAGAUUUCUAUGUCCCUGAAAUCAGCAACAUUACGAGAGCUACUUUACAUGCUUGUGCUAGUCACCAUAGAGAUCACAAAAAUACAUGGCGUACACCCCUGUAAAGAUGGCAUGGCAUACUUCAAAACUCAUGUAGGGCUCAAGUUCAUAGGAGGCACACAACAAUCAUGGCAAAAAUGACAAAAGUCCAAUUACUGAUAAGAAUCUGAAACUAAUAUAAACUAGCACUCUUGCAAUAGCAUUUAGGGAAUCAAGAUGAACUCAAAUGAACAUGAUGCAAUGAGAUGAAAUGAAGUACUCGUCGAGACGAACAAUUUGAUAUGCUACAUGCCCAAAACGGAGUCACGGUUGCAGAGUUAUGAUGCGAUGAAAUAUGCAUAAAAAUACUGAAACAGAGGAAAAAAGUCAACCCGAUCCAGAUCUAGGGUUUGCACGCGGAUCGAGACGCUUGCCGGAGAGUCGCCGGAAUCGUCGGGGAAGAAGAAAGCAGCGGCCGGCGGGUGAGGAAGAGGUGGCCGGAGCGGGCCCCGAGCGGCGCGGCGAGGACGGCGGCGCGGCGGCGGAAGUCAACGGCGGGGCGGCGACCGGGCGAGGAGGUCGACGACGACGGCGGUCGGCAACGGCGAGAGGAGGUGGGCGGUGUGGUUGUCCGGCGAGGAGGCGCGGCGUGGAGCGAGCUGGGCGGCGCAAGGCUUCGGGCCGGGGAGGGCCCGCGAUGGGCUCCAGCGGGCCGCACGGUGGGAGGAGGUGUCCGGGCCACGUGUCAUGCCCUGGUUGGGAGCGGACGGCGGCGGCGAGGCGUCCGGCGCGCGGAGAGGAGCGGGGCUAGGGUUUAGGGUGGUUUGGAUCCGGAAUUUCGAGGGAGGAGUGCCUUUUUAUAGGUAGGAGGAGUUAGGAGGCUCCAAAUUGAGCACGGUUUGCGGCCACACGAUUGUGAUCGAACGACCUAGAUGAUGGAGGGGGUUUAGGUGGGUUUUGGGCGACUUUGGAGGGAUGUUGGGCUGCAACACACACGAGGCCUUCUCGGCUCCUCGGUUAACCGUUGGAGUAUCAAACGAAGUCCAAAUGGUAUGAAACUUGACAGGCGGUCUAUCGGUAGUAAACCAAGGCCGCGUGGCAAGUUUCGGUCCAAUUCGAGAAUGUUUAAUACCCGCACACGAAAAGAGGUAGAAAGGGACACCAGAGGACAUAGGAGCGCCGGAAUGCAAAACGGACAACGGGGAAAAAGCUCGGAUGCAUGAGACGAACACGUAUGCCAAUGCGAUGCACAUGAUGACAUGAUAUGAAAAGCAUGAUAAAGACAAAAACACACGAAGAAAAAAA